AUGUACUUGCAUGUCAAUUAGUCAAAAUUUUUGUUAGUGGCCGGCCAUGUUAUGGAUUUAUGUAUAAAAUAAUUAUUUUUGCUAAUAAUUAAUAUUACAAAAAUGAAAUAAUGAAUAAAGAUUAAUAAAAUAUUUGGGUGAGUGGGAGGAGAAACCAAAGUUGGUUCAUCCUCACUCCACCAUUGCUGUAACUUGAGAUUAGAAAGAAGAAAAAAAUUUCUUUGUUUGAUUUCGGCUUGGAGAAUAUUUAGAAAGAGGUAAGUACUUUGAAAUUCUUGAAAAUUUAUGUAUAAUUUUGGUGAUUUGUUCAAAUUCUAUUCAUUCCAUGAGUUAAAUUUUUGGUUGUUUGGAGGUUUGAUAUUCGGCCAAGUAGUUUGAAACUCUUGGUAAAUAUUUUUCUUUCUUUCUUUAUGUCAUUAAAAGGGAUGGUAUAUUAGGAUAUGAAGAGUGAUAAAUUGUUGUUAACUUGAAGGUUGAGAUUAGUGUAUGUUUAGAGGGAGGUGUCGAAUGUUUAUUGAGUGGUAUGGAACUGCUUGGUAAUGAUUAGCCAUUGGAAUGGCUAAUCAUGAUCAUAAUUGGUGCUAUGUAUGUCAAAUUGCUAGCUAAUCCAUGGAAACCAUGAAAUAGGUAAAAUUUACCACAAAAUAUUUUUUAGACAGCAGUAGUGAAGUGAGUCUGAAAAAUCACUAAAAAUAGCAGAAAUGGAAUUAAAUAAUGAAUAAGUUAUGGAAUGAGUCUAUUUUCAUAUGGAAGAAACAAAACAGAUAUAUGAGCUAUAUUUUAUGAGAUGUUUAAAUUUUUGUGAAACAGGGCCAGAACGAUUUCUGGAUCCCCUGUUAUAACUUUGAAAAUUCACCAUAAAUUUUACAAAGAUAAUUAUAAGUCAUGAUUUAUAUGUACAGAUUCAUUAUUGAGUCUAGUUUUAUUAGAGACAAACAGAAUAGUCAUUGAAGCUCUGUACAGGGAGAUAUCUAAUUUGUAAUACACAGAGGUCAGAUUAGUCAAACCCCGAAACAAGGGAGACUUUAACUAAUAAACUGUACUAAUUGGCCUGACCAAAAAUUCUAGAAAAAAAAUUUUUAGAUAGAUAUAUGAGUCUAGUUUCAGGAAAAAUUUACGGAACUGAAUUUCGAGUUUUGGAACUCGAGAUAUGACUUUUUAAGUGACUGUGAUGCAGUUAGCCAGCUUGUCUGGAAAAAUUUAAAAAUGAAUUGUGUGAGCUGGGUAAGUAAUGAAGUAAGUCCGUUAACACCUCGUGUUCGACUCCGACAACGGUCUCGGGUACAGGGUGUUACAUUUUAUUUGGUAUCAGAGCCAGGUUUAGUCGAUUUUAGGACUACCGUAAUAAGUAUGGGUCUAGCUAUACAUGCCAUUAUGCGUUAAUAUGAUAGUGUGGUGAUUUCUGACGAAUAAAAAUGUGUUUUCGUAUAGAAAUGGAUUCUGAUCCUGAUCGAGUAGUAGCUGACGAUAUUGAGAGUGUAGCGCCUGCUCCCGCGCACGGGACAGCGCCGAUUGACUCUCAAUUAAAUGCAAGUAAUCAAAAUGAUGAGGCAAAACAAGCCUUCUAUGCUAUGAUGAACGACUGGUUUACCCAAUAUGUUCGAACUAAUCCGGCUGUUGCACAACCCUCACCCCCGACUAAUACAAACCCUGCACCAGUAAUAUCUCCUGUAGUUGACCCGUCGAGGUUGAACAAGCCCCCGAUUGAUAAAAUUCGGAAGCAUGGGGCUACGGAGUUCAAGGCUACUGACAGUGAUGAUGCUGAACAGGCUGAGUUUUGGCUUGAUAAUACCAUUCGUGUGUUCGAUAAAUUAUCGUGCACACCUGGUGAAUGUUUAAAAUGUGCUAUAUCUUUGUUACGUGAUUCUGCCUACUAUUGGUGGAAUACUUUGGUUUCCGUCAUGCCGAGAGAACGGGUUACUUGGGAAUUCUUUCAAACCGAGUUCCGCAAGAAAUAUAUCAGUCAAAGAUUCAUCGAUCAGAAACGGAAAGAAUUUCUUGAGCUUAAGCAGGGUUCUAUGUCAGUUACUGAUUAUGAACGAAAGUUUGUCAGACUUAGUAGAUACGCUCGAGAAUGUGUUUCGUCCGAGGCUAUCAUGUGUAAACACUUCGAGGACGGGUUGAACGAAGAUAUAAAACUGUAUGUUGGCAUUCUUGAAAUUAGAGAAUUUGUAGUACUUGUCGAACGAGCUUGCAAAGCCGAAGAGCUCAGUAAGGAGAAAAAAAAGCUGAAGUGGAAGAAAGAGAGUUUCGUAAGAGAUCUUCGGGAAAGCCCUUUCAACAAUCAUUGAAGAAAUUUAAAAAUGAACCAGGCCGAUCUAAAGACACCUCGGGCUUUUCCAGACGAGAUCGUGAUCGACCCCCUGUGAGUACGCGAGUCACUUCGGUUGCCAGUGUUGGAAAUGAUCGUCGGGACAGGACAGAGUGCCAGUAUUGCGGUAAAUGGCAUUCGGGGAGUUGUAGAUUCCAUGACCCCUCCUGUUAUAAGUGCGGAUCAGGUGACCACUUUAUCAAGGAUUGCCCGAGACUGUCUGAACAAAAUGUAAAUCAGAAUGGGAAACCAGGUGCUACUACUGCUCAAGGUAGACCAUCUAGAAAUACGGGGAAUGCUAGUGGCGGUCAAAGAGGGUCUAAAGAUGUUACCACCAGAUCUGAGGCUCGUGCUCCUGCUAGAGCUUAUGCUAUACGUGCACGCGAGGAUGCUUCUUCGCCUGAUGUUAUUACCGGUAUUUUCACUCUCUUUGAUACUGAUGUGAUUGCUUUGAUUGACCCUGGAUCUACUCAUUCUUAUGUAUGUGAGACUUUAGCAUCCAGUAAGACUUUACCUGUUGAGUCUACUGAGUUCGUUAUUAGAGUGUCGAAUCCCUUAGGUCGUUAUGUGCUUGUCGACAAGGUGUGUAAGAAAUGCCCCUUAAUAAUCUGAGGCUCUUGUUUUCCGGCCGACUUGAUGCUUUUACCGUUUGAUGAAUUUGAUGUUAUUCUCGGUUUGGAUUGGUUGACCGUACAUGAUGCAGUUGUGAAUUGCAAAAGUAAGACUAUUGAUUUGAGGUGUGCAAAUAAUGAGAUAAUCUGAGUUGAGUCUACUGUUUUGACUGGAUUGCCAACAAUAAUAUCCUCGAUGUUAGCUCAAAAAUAUGUAAAAAAGGGGUGUGAAGCGUAUCUUGCAUACGUGCUUGAUAAUAAAGAAACAGAAAAGAAACUUGAAUCGGUAUCAGUGGUUUGUGAAUAUCCGGAUGUUUUUCCUGAAGAAUUACCAGGGUUGCCACCUAUUCGGGAGGUAGAGUUUGGCAUCGAACUUGUACCUGGGACUACACCGAUUUCGAUAGCUCCGUAUCGUAUGGCACCAACGGAAUUAAAGGAAUUGAAAGCUCAGUUGCAAGAGUUGAUGGAUAGAGGUUUCGCUCGACCGAGUUUCUCACCUUGGGGUGCACCAGUAUUGCUUGUGAAAAAGAAGGACGGAACCAUGAGGUUAUGCAUCGACUAUCGUCAGCUGAAUAAAGGGACAAUAAAGAAUAAAUAUCCGUUGCCGCGUAUUGAUGAUUUGUUUGAUCAACUAAAGGGAGCCUCAGUGUUUUCAAAGAUAGAUUUGAGAUCGGGUUAUUAUCAGUUGCGAGUUCGAAAUUCAGAUAUACCCAAAACUGCUUUUAGAACGAGAUACGGUCACUACGAGUUCUUAGUGAUGCCGUUUGGACUCACUAAUGCCCCUACAGUAUUUAUGGAUUUGAUGAAUCGGAUCUUCAGACAGUAUUUGGAUCGGUUUGUAGUUGUGUUUAUUGAUGACAUUUUGGUCUAUUCGAGAGAUGAAACCGAACAUGCUGAGCACCUGAGAUUAGUGUUGCAGAUUUUACGGGAUAAGCAGUUAAAUGCUAAGUUCAGUAAAUGUGAGUUCUGGUUGAGAGAAGUUAGCUUUUUGGGUCAUGUGGUAUCUGCAUCGGGUAUUCGAGUUGAUCUGAGCAAAAUUUCAGCCAUACUUAACUGGAAGCCUCCGAGAAAUAUUAUUGAGGUUUAGAGCUUUUUGGGCCUUGCCGGUUAUUACAGACAGUUUGUAAAGGGUUUCUCGAUGAUAGCCACACCAAUGACGAAACUACUUCAGAAAGAUGUUAAGUUUGAACGGACAGAAAAAUGUCAGAAAAGUUUCGAUCAACUAAAAACUUAUUUUACUGAAGCUCCAGUACUAGUGCAGCCCGAAUCAGGCAAAGAGUUUUUCAUUUACAGUGAUGCAUCCUUACUUGGGUUGGGUUGUGUAUUGAUACAAGAAGGUCGAGUUGUAGCUUAUGUGUCGAGGCAAUUGAAGUCACAUCAGAAAAAUUAUCCAACCCAUGAUCUCGAAUUAGCUGCCACCGUAUUCGCUUUGAAAAUAUGGCGACAUUACUUAUUUGGUGAGAAGUGCCAUGUAUUUUCGGAUAACAAAAGUCUCAAAUAUUUGAUGACUCAAAGAGAUUUGAAUCUGCGACAAAGACGUUGGCUUGAGUUGUUAAAAGAUUAUGAGCUUGUCAUUGACUAUCACCCGGGAAAGGCUAAUGUGGUUGCGGAUGCUUUAAGUCGUAAAUCACUAUUUGCUUUACGAGCGAUGAACGUACAUUUGUCUGUUCUAUCCGAUAAUGUGUUAGUAGCAGAAUUAAAGGCCAAACCAUUGUUGAUUCAUGAAAUUCGUGAAGCUCAGAAAGUCGAUGAUGAAUUGGUUGCAAAACGGGCUGAAUGUGUUUCGAAUAUGGAAUCAGAGUUUCAAAUUGAUGAUGACGAUUGUUUGAGGUUCAAAAGUCAUUUGUGUGUUCCAAGAUAUUCAGAACUUAUUUUGAUGAUUUUGAACGAAGCUCAUUGUAGCCGAAUGUCAAUUCACCCGGGGAGUACGAAAAUGUACAACGAUCUGAGACGUCAGUUUUGGCGGCAUGGUAUGAAACGAGACAUUUCCAAUUUUGUUUCGAAGUGUUUAAUAUGUCAACAAGUGAAAGCGGAACAUCAAGUGCCUACAGGUUUACUUCAAUCGAUCAUGAUACCUGAAUGGAAAUGGGAUCGAGUCACGAUGGAUUUUGUAUCUGGGUUGCCAUUGUCGGCAAGCAAGAAAAAUGCGAUUUGGGUUGUUGUUGAUAGACUGACUAAGUCGACUCAUUUUAGUCCCGUACGUACGGAUUAUUCACUGGAUAAACUAGCUGAAUUGUAUGUUUCUCAGAUUGUAAGAUUACACGGGGUACCUAUUUCUAUUGUAUCGGAUAGAGAUCCGAGGUUCACCUCGCGAUUUUGAAAGAAAUUGCAAGAAGCUUUGGGUACCAAGUUGCAUUUUAGCACCGCUUUUCAUCCCCAGACUGAUGGUCAAUCUGAGCAGAUAAUUCAGAUACUCGAGGAUAUGUUGAGAUGUAGCAUCCUUGAGUUUAGUGGUUCAUGGGAACGGUAUUUACCUUUGAUUGAAUUCGCUUACAACAAUAGUUUUCAGUCAAGCAUUAAGAUGGCACCUUACGAGGCUUUGUAUGGUCGUAAAUGCCGUACACCGUUGUUUUGGAUCGAGCUUAGUGAAAAUAAAAUCUUCGGGGUUGAUUUGAUUAAAGAUGCUGAGUAGAAAGUAAAAGUAAUCCGUGAAAGUCUGAAAGCAGCUUCAGAUCAUCAGAAGUCGUAUGUGGAUUCAAAACGAAAAGACAUUGAAUAUCAGGUCGGAGACAAAGUGUUUCUUAAAGUUUCACCUUGGAAAAAAGUGCUUAGAUUUGGCCGUAAAGGCAAAUUGAGUCCGAGGUUCAUCGGGCCAUAUGAAAUAUCCGAAUGAAUUGGGCCAGUCGCAUACAGAUUGAUUCUACCCCCUGAACUUGAAAAGAUUCACAACGUUUUUCAUGUCUCGAUGCUUCGACGAUAUAGAUCCGAUCCAUCGCACAUAAUUAAUCCAUCAGAGGUUGAAAUUCAAUCUGAUUUGAGUUAUGAAGAAGAACCGAUUCGUAUCCUAGCUCGCGAGGUGAAAGAGUUGCGAAACAAAAGGGUUCCGUUAGUAAAGGUGUUAUGGUUCAAACACGGGAUCGAAGAAGCUACUUGGGAAACCGAGAACUCUAUGAAAGAACGAUACCCAAAUCUAUUUACCGGUAAGAUUUUCGGGGACGAAAAUUUCUUAAGUGGGGGAGAGUUGUAACAGCCCUAAUUUGACCCUAGUUGUGAAGUGGUUUCGGGACCACAAAACUGAGUCAUAAAAAUAAUUAACCGUCAUAUUCUAUGUUUAUUUUAUGUGAAUAUGAAUGUGUGAAAGUUUCAUGCAUUAAUUUUGUCAUCAGUAUGUGAAAUUUUGAAGAAGGGACAUAGGUGAGACUUUUGUGAAAUAGGAUAGGUAAUUAUAAAAGGAUCUAAUUGUGCAUGAGGUUAAAAAAAAGUACUUGCAUGUCAAUUAGUCAAAAUUUUUGUUAGUGGCCGGCCAUGUUAUGGAUUUAUGUAUAAAAUAAUUAUUUUUGCUAAUAAUUAAUAUUACAAAAAUGAAAUAAUGAAUAAAGAUUAAUAAAAUAUUUGGGUGAGUGGGAGGAGAAACCAAAGUUGAUUCAUCCUCACUCCACCAUUGCCGUAACUUGAGAUUAGAAAGAAGAAAAAAAUUUCUUUGUUUGAUUUCGGCUUGGAGAAUAUUUAGAAAGAGGUAAGUACUUUGAAAUUCUUGAAAAUUUAUGUAUAAUUUUGGUGAUUUGUUCAAAUUAUAUUCAUUCCAUGAGUUAAAUUUUUGGUUGUUUGGAGGUUUGAUAUUCGGCCAAGUAGUUUGAAACUCUUGGUAAAUAUUUUUCUUUCUUUCUUUAUGUCAUUAAAAGGGAUGGUAUAUUAGGAUAUGAAGAGUGAUAAAUUGUUGUUAACUUGAAGGUUGAGAUUAGUGUAUGUUUAGAGGGAGGUGCCGAAUGUUUUAAAAAAAAAAGUGUAAUUGAGGUUAUAACAUUCGGUUAAGUAAUAUGGGUGCUAGCAAAUUUAGUAUAUUGUAUAGUUAUUAAUUGUCUUGUAUUAGAUGCUUUUUGAAGGCUAAUAAAUGGCUAAUAAGAUGUUGUUAGGAAAUUUUAGUUAGCUAUGUUGAAGCAUUCGGUAUUUCCUAUAAUAAUAGGUAUAAGAUUAGAAAUUAUAGUAAGUAAGUUGUAAUCCUAUAGGAGCAAGAUAGAAUCGGUUAUUUAAGUAAUGGAGUGAAUCGGUCAUUGUGUGGCAUAGAUAAAACCAAUAUGAAAUGGUUACAUUGAUCAUGGAAUGAAAAUCUUUUUAUAGAAGUUAAAUUUGUUUGAUUAGGGCCGAAUGGGGUUUAUAAAGUAAUGACAUGUUAAAUAUUUAUUUAUGUGAAUCCGAGGUUGUGCAUAAGACUAGUAAUCAUUCAAUUGUGAUAGUCACACAUAGGCAUAGAUAUACAAAUGCCUUGUGUAUGUACCUUGAGUCGUAGAGGCGUUUGGAUACAUAUAGUUAAACUUGUGUAUAUAAAGCAUGGUAAGUUAUGUAAAUUUUGGUUUGUGUAUGCGAAAUAGAUGUCGGUGUAAUAGGCAUAAAAUAAUAACAACAAUCGUAGCCUAUUCUAUAAAACAUAUUAUGUUUCGAAGUUAUAUGAUUGUUUAUUGUGACUACUAAACUAAGAAGUAAAACCGAGUAAAUAAUUUAAAUAAAUCUAUUUGUUUUAAUUAAGCUUAAGAGCAAAAGGGGUUUAAAUCAGAAAAGGGAAAGGAGAAAGCAGUCGAGUAGAUAAUCCGCAACGGUUCAAGCAUCCGAGGUAAGUUUUAAGUGGUCACCUUUAAAAUAUAUAAAUGAUAAUGUCUUAGUAUGAAUACAUUAGUUGAAUCGUAAUCUUUGGUCCCACUUGUAGUAAAUUAUGUGAUAAAUGAUUUAUAUAUAUGCCAUAUAGAUGAGUGAUCACUAUAAGUUAAGAUUAAAUGGUGAUAUGGUUAUAUAUAUAUGUAUAUAUUAUUAUCUGUGUGGAAUUUUUGAACCGAAAUGAAAAUGGUCAUAUUCAUAUGGAGCUUGUAUCUGAAUGUAGUAAAUGACUGCUAAUGUAGUAAGUUGAAUGGGAUGUGUGAGUAUAUAAUUAAAUAGGCAAAAUUUAUGUGGUAUUAUAUCCGGGUUAAAUCUUGCAGGCUUAAUGCUGGUAUUAUAUCUGGACUUAUAGUCCGCAGGCCUAGUGCUGGUAAUAGAUAUCCGGGUUAAAUCCCACAGGCUUUGUGCUAGAAAUUGGAAACGGGUUUUAAAAAAACCUAGCAGGCUUAAUGCCGGUGAUUUGAGUAAGAUUGUGAUUUCGAAUGUUCGGAUGAAACCACCAUUGAAAUUGUUCAAUGCAUUAAGUUGUUCAGGUAUGUAUUAUAUACCUGUAUAUGUUAGAUUGAUCAGAAUUGAAUCAUGAAUGUCAAACGAGAAGUAUAUGUAAAAAUCUCAUAUGUGUAUUCGAUUAUGGUGAAAGGUCACAUGAGAUGCUUUUCGAAUUCUUAUGAUCUUAUUUUUAAUUUCAAUAAUCGAUCUAUAAGUAAAUUAAUGGUUUGCAUUGCUUAAAACUUACUAAGCAUAGUAAUGCUUACUCUGUUACCUUAAUUCUCUAUUUUGUAGAUUUUGUUCGUCAACUACGGUCUUGGAAGUGUCAAAGUCGAAGUCAUCCACACUAUCUAAGCCCCUUUUUGAUACUCUUUCAGUCGAACUUUGAUAAUGGCAUGUAUAGGACUGACCUUUGUUGUUAAUUAUCUUUUGGUAAUGUAUAUUCGUAUAGCCAAGCGAAAAUGGCUUGUAUAUGUUGAGUAUGGCAUUAUAAUCAUUUUGUAUAUAUGGUCUUAUGAUAUGGUUAUUGAGUGGUAUGGAAAUGCUUGGUAAUGAUUAGCCAUUGGAAUGGCUAAUCAUGAUCAUAAUUGGUGCUAUGUAUGUCAAAUUGCUAGCUAAUCCAUGAAAACCAUGAAAUAGGUAAAAUUUACCACAAAAUAUUUUUCAGACAGCAGUAGUGAAGUGAGUUUGAAAAAUCACUAAAAAUAGCAAAAAUGGAAUUAAAUAAUGAAUAAGUUAUGGAAUUGAAGCUUGAUGAGUCUAUUUUCAUAUGGAAGAAACAAAACAGAUAUAUGAGCUAUAUUUUAUGAGAUGUUUAAUUUUUUAUGAAACAGGGCCAGAACGAUUUCUGGAUCCCCUGUUAUAACUUUGAAAAUUCACCAUAAAUUUUACAAAGAUAAUUAUAAGUCAUGAUUUAUAUGUACAGAUUCAUUAUUGAGUCUAGUUUUAUUAGAGACAAACGGCAUAGUCAUUGAAGCUCUGUACAGGGAGAUAUCUAAUUCGUAAUACACAGAGGUAAGAGUAGUUGAACCCCGAAAUAGGGGAGACUUUAACUAAUAAACUGUACUAAUUGGCCUGACCAAAAAUUCUAGAAAAAAAUUUGUAGAUAGAUAUAUGAGUCUAGUUUCAGGAAAAAUUUACGGAACUGAAUUUCGAGUUUUGGAACUCGAGAUAUGACUUUUUAAGUGACUGUGAUGCAUUUAGCCAGCUUGUCUGGAAAAUUUUAAAAAUGAAUUGUGUGAGCUGGGUAAGUAAUGAAGUAAGUCCGUUAACACCUCGUGUUCGACUCCGAAAACGGUCUCGGGUAUGGGGCGUUACAGAUAGCCAGCAUAAGACCAUGUCUGGGACAUGGCAACGACAACUUAACCCAUGUUUGAGGCUUAUAGAAUAUCUGGUAGUAUUCCAAAAGGUUCAACUUUAAGAGUUAAGAAAGAGAUUUAAUAAGGAAAGUAUGAUAAUGUUGUAAGUGUUACAGGUACCUAUUUGGUAGGCAUGAGUAAUGAGCCUGAUUAGAAAAUAUGAUUUGAGUUGAUGGUAAUAAGUAAGUCCAGUUUAUACUUACCUUUGAGCUAUGAGCAUAAUUGAUAAAUGGUGAAGUUGUUAUUAUAUAUAUAUUUAUAUGCAACUUACUAAGCUUUAUUCUUACUCUCUUUCCUUCCAUUUUCUAUCAGUACUGCCAUUUUGCUCGAGGAUCCCUUGAAGUCAGAGAUAUCAAUCACACUAUCAGCCGUAAUACUCGGUAUAGUUGGAUUUAUAUUUUUUAUUAUGGCAUGUACAGGGCUAGACUAGGGAGUUGUAUUAUUGAGAAAUUGUUUAUGUAUAUUGGCUUACGAUAAAAGCCUUUCAUUUUAUGUUAAGCCUAGAUAAUGACUAUUAUUCAUUUUGGCAAAUGUAUAUGAUGUUCCUUCUAUGGAUGAAUUAAUGUCUUUUGGGAUGGAAUUAGCAUAUUGAAAUGAUCUUGUGUAGGUUGUGCAAAAUGGGUAACGAAUGGCUUGGAAGAUAGCCUAGUUUGUCCAAACGGCAAGACACACGGACGUGUGUUUAGACCGUGUGUGACACACGGCUCACCCCCAUGGGUGUGUGUUAUGGUCGUGUGCCCCCCUACACUUAAACUUUUAGAUCAGUAUUGUCCACGGUUAGGCCACACGGGCAUAUUCCAUAGCUGUGUCUAUAAGUCAGUAUUGCCCACAGGUAGGCCACACGAGUGUGUGUCAUGGUCGUGCCCUAAAGUCAGUAUCGCACACGGGCUGAGGACGUGGGCGUGUCCCGAGUCACACGGGCGUGUGGAACCCUAAAGCAUGAAUUUCACCAAUUUUUUCUUAAAUUUUCAGUUAAGCCUAAAUCAUCUCGAAUGUAUGUUUCGGGCCUCAUAAGCCCAUUCAAUGAACUAAUUACUUAUGAAAGUAAAAGUUUUAAAAUUUAUCAAAAUUUUACCGCUCGGCUUUGUAUAAUUGAUUGAGUUAAGUCAGGUAACACCUUGAACCAUGUCCCGACGUCGUAUAUGGACGGGCGGUGUUACAUUUAGUGGUAUCAGAGCAUGAUUUAGUCAGUUCUAGGACUAACCUAGCUAAAGUACGAUUCUAGCCAUACAUGCCAUAUAUAUAUAUUGAUAGUGUGACGAUUCUUGACAAUUAUAAAUUGUGUUUUUCUUAUACAGUAAAUGGAUCCUGUUGAAACCAUGGUAAAUGACAUGGAAAGUAAUGCAUCGACUCCCACAGAAGGAACCGCGCCGAUAGAGAGUGAGCCCGUAAGUAUGGGCCAAGGCGGAGGGGCUAGGGAAGCCUACCUCCAGCUGAUGGAUGCUUGGUACACAGAGUUCGUUCGUGCGAACCCGAACACUCCACCUCCCUCACCUCCACCGAUUCUUCAGUAUGCCCCGAUUGCUCCGCAAGGUGCGGACAUGUUUAGGAGUGAAAAGCCUCCGGUAAACAAGAUCCGGAAGCAAGGGGCCGAGGUAUUUCGAGCUAGUGUAGAUGAGGAGUUGGAGAGAGCGGAGUUUUGGAUAGAAAAUACCAUGAGGGUAUUUGAUGAGCUAUCAUGCACACCUGAUGAGUGCGUGAAGUGUGCUGGGUCACUCUUAUGAGACUCGGCUUAUCAAUGGUGGAACACUCUCGUGUCUGUUGUACCGAGGGAGAGGAUCACUUGGCAAUUUUUCCAAGAAGAGUUUCGAAAGAAGUAUAUUAGCCAGAGCUUCGUGGAUCAGAAAAGGAAAGAAUUUCUAGAGUUGAAGGAAGAUAGUAAGACUGUGACAGAGUAUGAGCCUGAGUUUGUGAAGCUCAGCAAAUAUACGCGAGAAUGCGUAUCCACUGAAGCUACUAUGUACAAGAGGUUUGAGGAUGGCCUCAAUGAAGACAUUCGAGUGUUUGUGGGCAUCCUAGAGUUAAGAGAAUUUGUGGUGCUCGUUGAGAGAGCAUGUAAAGCAGAAGAGCUGGUAAAAGAGAAUAGGAAGGCGGUAUUGAGUCGCGAGAUUUAAAGAGAAGACAGAUGGGGAAGACGCAUCAGUCCUCCUCUAAGAGGUUGAAAGAAAUUAACACCUGAUCGAACGCUUCAUUGGGAUCUUCACGGAGGAACAAGAAUCGACAGAAUAUGACGUCUAAAGCCCAGACCACUUCGGUCGCUAGUGUCGGCAGUAUACGGCCAAAUAGGCAGGAGUGUCUACAAUGUAGGAGAUGCUACUUGGGCGAAUGCUGAGUAAAUGAGAGGGGCUGUUUCAAAUGUGGGUCGUUAGACCACUUCAUCCGAGAUUUUCUCGAAAUAAAUGACAAAGAGAAAAAUCAAGAGGUGAGGGCGAAUAGUACUCCUUUGAAGGGCAGACCCCAAAGAAAUACGGGCAGUGGAGCUAACAGUAGAGGCGCAACUAGAGAUGCAGUGGCGAGGUCCGAGGCAGAAUGCCUACGAGGACUUAUGCUAUCCGUGCCCGUGAGGAGGCAGAAUCUCCUGACGUGAUUACAGGUACUUUUUCUAUUCAUGACAUUUAUGUUGUUGCUUUGAUUGAUCCGGGGUCUACCUACUCCUAUAUGUGUAUGGAUUUGAUGCCCCGUAUAAGCAUGUUAGUAGAGUCCACUAAGUUUGUAAUAAAAGUGUCUAACCCAUUAGGCAAGCAUGUAUUAGUGGACCAAGUAUGUAUAAAUUGUCCUUUGAUGAUUAAAGGUCAUUGCUUUCCGGCCAACUUGAUGUUAUUGUCGUUUAAUGAAUUCAUGUAAUUCUUGGGAUGGAUUGGCUGACCUCCCAUGGCAUUGUAGUAGACUGUGGAAGAAAAGUAAUUCAGUUAAGCUGUGAGAAUGGUGAAGUUCUUCAAGUUGGGUCAAAUAACCUGCCUGUGAUAAUAACAUUUUUAGUCGCCGAAAAAUAUUUGAGAAAAGAUUAUGAAGCUUAUUUAGCUUUUGUGCUGAAUACCAAGUGUCCGAGUCGAAGAUUGAGUCAGUACCAGUGGUUUGUGAGUUUAUAGAUGUUUUUCCAGGAGAAUUGCCUGGGUUACCUCCAGAAAGAGAAGUUGAGUUUGGUAUAGAGUUAGUUCCCAGCACAACGCCAAUCUCGAUUGCACUGUAUAGAAUGACCCCCACUAAGUUGAAGGAGUUGAAAGUGCAGUUGCAAGAGUUAACAGAUAAAGGUUUUGCUAGACCGAGUUAUUCACCAUGGGGUGCUCUGGUACCUUUUAUGAAAAAAAAAGACGGGUCGAUGAGAUUAUGUAUCGACUAUAGAAAACUAAACAAAGUAACAGUGAAGAACAAGUAUCCUUUAUCGAGGAUCGAUGAUCUCUUCGAUCAACUGAGAGGAGCCACUGUAUUUUCUAAAAUAGAUUUGAGGUCGAGUUACUACUAAUUAAGAGUCAAGGAAUAAGAUGUGCCGAAGAUUACUUUUCGGAUGAGAUAUGGGCAUUACGAGUUUCUUGUUAUGCCUUUUGGAUUAACAAAUGCCCCAGCGGUAUUUAUGGACUUGAUGAAUCGCAUCUUCCAACCAUAUUUGGAUAGGUUCGUCGUCGUUUUUAUUGAUGACAUCUUGGUUUAUUCACGUAACGAGAAUUAGCACGCAGAGUAUUUGAGAGCUGUGUUGCAGAUCUUGAGGGAUAAGCAACUUUAUGCCAAGUUUAGUAAGAGUGAGUUUUGGCUCAAAAAGGUCGGGUUUCUAGGACAUAUAGUGUCGGGUGAUGGAAUCAGAGUUGAUCUAAAUAAGAUCUCUGCCAUUGUGGAGUGGAAACCGCCGAGGAAUGUAACAGAUGUUUGCAGUUUUCUGGGGCUAACAGGAUACUAUAGACGAUUUGUAAAUAGAUUCUCCAUGAUAGCUACACCAAUAACAAGGCUACUGCAGAAAGAUGUCAAGUUCGAAUGGAUAGAAGAGUGCCAACAGAGCUUCGAGAAAUUAAAGGCUUUGUUGACUAAAGCACCAAUUUUAGUGCAACCUAAGUCGGGCAAGGAAUUUGUAGUUUUUAGUGACGCCUCCCUAAACGAUUUAGGGUGUGUACUAAUGCAAAAAGGCAAGGUUAUAGCCUAUGCCUCGAGACAGCUAAAACCUCAUGAGAGGAAUUUUCCGACCCAUGAUUUAGAGCUAGCAGCUGUGGUGUUCGCACUAAAAAUUUGGCGACACCAUUUGUAUGGUGAGAGAUGCUGAGUAUUUACAGAUCACAAGAGUCUAAAGUAUCUAAUGACUCAGAAAGAGUUGAAUUUGAGGCAACGAUGAUGGUUAGAGCUAAUAAAAGAUUAUGAGUUGAUUAUCGACUAUCAUUCGGGAAAUAUGAAAAUAGUCGCUGACGCUUUGAGUAGGAAGUCGUUAUUUUCCUUGAGAGCCUUGAAUGCUCAAUUGACUACAUCUAAUGAUGGAUCGGUCCUAGAAGAGUUGAAAGCCAGACCGACUUUUCGUCAUGAAAUCUGUGAAGCUCAGAAAGAUGACAAGAAACUACAAGCCAAGAUAACUCAGUAUGAAUCAGAAAUUUAGUCAGAUUUUCAUAUUAGUACUAAUGGGUGUAUAAUGUUCAAAGACAGAGUUUGUGUACCCAAAGAUAGUGAGCUCAUUCAGAAGAUUUUAUAGGAGGCACACAGUGGUUGUUCGUCAGUUCACCCGGGUAGCAUGAAAAUGUACAACAACCUUAAGAAAAUGUAUUGGUGGUCGGGUAUGAAAAGAGACAUUUCAGAGUUCGUUUCCAAGUGCCUAGUGUGUCAACAAGUAAAGGCUGAACAUAAGUGCCUUCGGGUUUACUUCAGCCUAUUAUGAUUCCCGAGUGGAAAUGGGAUCGUAUCACCAUAGACUUCGUGACCAGUUUGCCUCUAACCCCGAAAAAGAGAGAUGCAGUAUGGGUUAUUAUCGAUAGACUUACUAAGUCAGCACACUUCAUACCAGUGCGUGUCGACUACUCCCUUAAGAAGUUGGCAGACUUGUAUGUUUCUGAGAUUGUGAGGUUUCUUGGUGUGCCGUUACUAAUUGCAUCUGAUCGAGACCCGAGGUUCACCUCAAGGUUUUGGAAAAAGUUACAAGAGGCUCUAGGAACCAAGUUGAGUUUCAGUACGGCAUUUCAUCUGCAAACUGACCAACAGUCGGAAAGAGUAAUACAGAUCUUAGAAGACAUGUUAAGGUGUUUUGUUCUUGAAUUUCAAGGAAGUUGGAAAAAAUACUUACCAUUGGUUGAAUUCGCUUACAACAACAGCUAUCAGUCGAGUCUGAAAAUGGCACCUUAUGAAGCUUUGUACGAGUGAAAGUGCCGAAAACCCUUAUUCUGGACCAAGUUGAGAAAGAAUCAGAUUCACGGGGUGGAUUUGAUUAAAGAGGCUGAGGAAAAAGUUAAGGUGAUUCGUGACUGUUUGAAAGUCGCCUCGGAUAGACAAAAAUCCUACGCGAAUUUGAAACGAAGGGAGAUUAAAUUUGAAGUCAGGGAUAAGAUAUUUUUAAAAGUUUCCAUGUGGAGGAAAGUCCUCAGAUUUGGUAAAAAGGGCAAGUUGAGUCCUCGUUUCAUAGGACCUUAUGAGAUUACCGAGAGAGUAGGGCCUGUUGCCUACCGUUUGGAAUUGUCGCUAGAGUUAGAAAAGAUUUACGAUGUGUUUCACGUGUCUAUGUUAUGCUGGUACAGAUUAGACUCUUCGCAUAUAAUUGUGCCAACUGAAGUUGAGAUUCUCCCAGACAUGACUUAUAGUGAGGAGCUGGUCAAGAUUUUAGCUCGAGAAGUCAAACAGCUACGAAAUAAAAAUAUACCACUUGUGAAGGUUUUAUGGAAUAGACAUGGAGUCAAGGAAGCCACAUGGGAACCCUAGGAGUCUCUGAGAGAACAUUACCUGAACUUAUUCACCGGUAAGAUUUUCGAGGACGAAAAUCCCUAAGGGGGGAGAAAUGUAACAACCCGAUUUAAGGCCUAGUCAGAAAAUGGUCUCAGGACCACAAAUCUGAAGAUUGAAAAAUUAUUUUUAUUAUUUUUAUGAGGUUAUAGCAUGAUUAUAUUAGUGCAUGAAAAAUCUGGUGAAUUAAUUUUAAUAUUUUCAAGCUCGAUUGCAAAAAAGAACUAAAUCGUAAAAAAGGCAAAAGUUACAUUUUAGCACCCAAAGGUGCCAAGUAGCUAGAGAUUUAAAAUUAGGAGUAUUUAAAGGGCAUUUAAACCCUAUUGGAAUGGGUUGGCCUGCCAUAAGACAAGAAAAUGGGUGGUCAACAUGUUAGGUAUUUUGAUGACCUCAUAUGUAAUAAAUUAAUUCCUAAAAGCCUAGUUUUUAUUUUUCCCUCACUCCUUCUUCCUUGUUGACCAAAAAUAUCAUCAAAUAUUGAGGUUUGAAAGCUCAAAAAUCUACAACAACUUAAAGCACUCAUAAGUAAGUGAUUUUAAUUAGUUUUCUUCAAGAUUUUUACAUUUUUGAGACCUUUAAAGCAUGAGCUUUCAAGUGAGGGUGAUAUCUUACAAAAUGGUCAAGAGUUUAGGAUUUUUCCAUGGAUGUAUUUGUGGUAUAUGCUGAGUUUUUAUGGAGGAAUAUGAGUCCUAGUUGUGUUAUAAACAACUUUUAUGAAAGGUGUUAGUAUGAAAACACCUAAAGGGACUAUUUUGCAUAAGUUGCAAAUUAAGUAAUAAGUGUGUGAAAUAGUGAGAAUUUGGGGUUUCUCUAGUAGUAAAAAGAGUUUAUCUAUGCUUUAAAUACAAAUAAAUUCGAUAAAAAUUGAAUUUGAGCAUAGGGGUAAAAUAGUCAUUUUGCUAAAGUCUAGGGACAAAAUGGUCAUUUUACCAAAGAUGUAAAUUUUAGAUAGCCUAAUUGUGUUUAAUGACUGAAUGAGUGCAUUUUGUUAUUAUAGAUCAAGAUUUGCCAAAACCAAGCCUAGACCAGGGCAAAGCCAAGCAAUCCGAUUAAGCCGAUUAGUCAUGUACUUUUUGUAAACCAAGGUAAGUUGCACGUAAAUAAUACAACUAUAUUAUUAAUGCGUGUAUUCAAUUGUUAUUGGUUUGAUAUAGCAUAAAUUUCUAGAAUUGGAACUAAGAAUUUCUAGAAUUGGAACUAAGUAUAUGUAUUUAUAAUUGAGAAAGUCGAAAGAUCCAGUAAGAACCCCAAGAAACAAACCGGAUAUUCAUGCCAUGACAUUGGGUUAUGUGAGAGCCAGUAUAAGACCAUGUUUGGGACGUGGCAUCAGCAUUGAGAUAGGGCUAGUGUAAUACAUGUCUGGGACAUGCAUCAACCGCAUCAUGAUAGCCCUUAUAAGACCACGUCUGAGACAUGGCAUCAGCAUAGAGGUGAGUGCCAGUGUAAGACAUGUCUGAGACAUGCAUCGGCCUCGAUGAUGUUAGCCAGUGUAAGGUGUCUGGGACAUGCAUCGGUUAAGUUUCGUGCUAGUGUAAGACAUGUCUGGGACAUGCAUCAGUAUGUAUACACGAGAGCCAAUGUAAGACCAUGUCUAGGACAUGGCAUCAACCUCGAUGGAGAUAGCCAACGUAAGACCAUGUCUGGGACAUGGCAGCGACAACUUAACCCAUGUUUGAGGCUUAUAGAAUAUUCGGUAGUAUUCCAAAAGGUUCAACUUUAAGAGUUAAGAAAGAGAUUUAAUAAGGAAAGUAUGAUAAUGUUGUAAGUGUUACAGGUACCUAUUUGGUAGGCAUGAGUAAUGAGCUUGAUUAGAAAAUAUGAUUUGAGUUGAUGGUAAUGAAUAAGUCCAAUUUAUACUUACCUUUGGGCUAUGAGCAUAAUUGAUAAAUGGUGAAGUUUUUAUUAUAUAUAUUUAUAUGCAACUUACUAAGCUUUAUGCUUACUCUCUUUCCUUCAUUUUUCUAUCAGUACUGCCAUUUUGCUCGAGGAUCCCUUGAAGUCAGAGAUAUCAUUCACACUAUCAGUCGUAAUACUCGGUAUAGUUGGAUUUAUAUUUUUGAUUAUGGCAUGUACAAGUCUAGACUAGGGAGUUGUAUUAUUGAGAAAUUGUUUAUGUAUAUUGGCUUAAGAUAAAAGCCCUUCAUUUUGUGUCAAGCCUAGAUAAUGACUAUUAUUCAUUUUGGAAAAUGUAUAUGAUGUUCCUUUUAUGGAUGAAUUAAUGUCUUUUGGGAUGAAAUUAGCAUAUUGAAAUGAUCUUGUAUGGGUUGUGCAAAAUGGGUAACGAAUGGCUUGGAAGAUAGCCUAGUUUGUCCACACGGGCGUGUGUUUAAACCAUGUGUGACACACGGCUCACUCCCAUGGGUGUGUGUUAUGGCCGUGCGUCCCCCUGCACUUAAACUUUUAGAUCAGUAUUGUCCACAAUUAGGCCACACGGGCGUGUGCCAUAGCCUACGGGUAGGCCACACGGGCGUGUGUCAUGGCAGUGCCCUAAAGUCAGUGUCGCACACGGGCUGAGGAUGUGGGCGUGUCCCGAGUCACACGGGCGUGUGGAACCCUAAAGCAUAAAUUUCACCAAGUUUUUCUUAAAUUCUCAGUUAAGUCUAAAUCGUAUCGAAUGUAUGUUUUGGGCCUUGUAAGCCCAUUCAAAGAACUAAUUGCUUAUGAAAGUAAAAGUUUUAAAAUUUAUCAAAAUUUUACCGCCCGGCUUUGUAUAGUUGAUUGAGUUAAUCAGGUAACACCUCGAACCAUGUCCCGACAUCGGAUAUGGGCAAGGGGUGUUACAACCUAACUCUAGCCAACAAUCGCUUCUGUGGGAUUAUCUUCUACUAUUAUCUUAUGUUAGAUCAUCACUUCUUAAUGGAAAAUCCUACGCCAUUUUGUCUCUUGGGCUUGCCAACCUCUGACGUAGUAAGCUAACGAACCGACUGUGCAACCUUCCCAAAACAUACAAACGGCCGCCUUUGCACAUGUUGAAAAGAUCACCUUGUAAGGGACAUGGAGGGAAACGUCACCCCCGUAAUGCGGAGAAGUGAUGCAUAUUUGUCUAGAAGGCUAAGUACGGAUUCUAAGCCCCAUGAACCCUUUUUGAGGAAUUUUGACAACCUUCAGCUAGAUAGAUUUAGCGGCUCGUGAUUUUUGGGAAAAAACAAAUAAAUAUAAUGGGAAUGGAAUUUUUAUUGAAAGAAAAUAUGAAAAGAACAAAAAGGCUAAACUUUAUGGGGAGAGAGUGUUACAGAAAAAGAUGGACGAAAUUUGUGCCACUUCAUCCCCUAUUUAUAGUACUAAGAAACCUAGCUUAUUCCUAAUUAAAUUCUAAAAGAUAAAUAAAAAUAAAUAAAGAUAAUUAAAGAUAAAUGAAAAUAAAUCCUAAAAUUAAAUAUAAAUAAUAAUCCUUAAUAAUUAUCCUAAUAUAAUUAAACAUUAAAUAGAGUCUUGUGCUAUAAAAUAUCUUCUUUUGCACUUUUGCCCUUAUGUCUUCCAUACUUGCAUUUUUGACACCACUUUUUUCCCUAUGUCGCAUGUUGGCCCAUUGUAUCUUCAAAUUUGCACUUUUUGCCUUUAAAUUUUCUUUUGCCUCUAAUUUAGUCCCUGAAAGAUAAAAGACCAUAAAUAGCUCAAAUUAGUAGGAUCAUACUCAAAAUAAACAUGCAAUUAGCACAUAAAAUAUGUCGUUCUAGAGUAUUAUCAAUGAAUUGUAUGUUCUAAGAUAUUUAUUGAAUAUUAAAUGAAUUAUUGAUUUAAAAUUUCAUGUUAAUGUUUCGUUACUUGGUGUAGCAUCCCAUAACUCGAUUCUGGUGUCGGGGAUGGAUUGGGGGUGUUACAACUAAGUCUAACUAAAAGAGGUCUAAAAUUACAACCAGUAUGUUUGGUUUGGAAUUGAGUUGUAAUGGAAUGUUAUUAUGUGAUAACAGAAUUGAGUUGAAAUUGAACUGGAUGAGUGUUACAAUAGUUUGGUUGAGUGGAAUGGAAUGAGUAUCUAUGUUAGGUUUAAGGAACAAAUAUUGUAAUAACAUAAGAAAAAAAAAAACUAAAACAACUAAUAUGCCUUUUAUAAUUAUUUUUAGGCUAAGCUAUACUUAAGGUCACUAAAUUAUUAGUAAGUUUACAUUUUGGUUCCUCAACUAAAAAAGUUACAAAAUAGUCAUUAAACUUAAAAAUAUUUUCAUUUAAGCUAUUGGACUAUUAAGUCUUUUGCUUAAAAAAAUUGCACCCGACCAAAUUUAAGUGACAAUUCAACGAUUAGCAAUGUGGAACAAUACCAAUCGAUGAGUAGAAAAACAUAUCUCAUAUCUAAGCUCAUCUAACAGUCAAUGUCAAAGAUAGGAGAAAAAAACUGUUUGGACUUUGGUUCGCAGAUUCAUGACAUUCAAAUCUAUUUCAUGAAAAAGAAAACUAAAUUGUAGAAGAGGAGUGGAAGUUUACCUUUUCGAUCGGUACCAAAGGUGAGAACAUAGAAGGUCAUACAACAGUGAUUUUAAUAGCCUAAUAACUUAAAUGAAACAUUCGAAUAGUUUAGUGACAUAACUUUUUGAAGUUGAGUGAUUAAAAUGUAAACUUACUAAUAUUUCAUUGACCUUGGAUGUAGUUUACCCUUUUCUUUAACAAAGUAUCUAAAAAUGUUAAAAAUCUCAAAGGAAUGGUAUACUUGUUUUAAAAUAUAUAUUUAAAAAUAUCCAAAAAAUAUUAAAAUGCUCAAAUCACCAAUAUAUCAUUUAAUAGUUUUUUUUUAAUAAAAUAGGAAGGCAAAACCCUAGAAAAAUAAAAAAUAUAAAUUACAUUCGAACAUAAAGAACUCCAAGCUUAUCAUUGUCAAGGGUCAACUCAACUUCAACCGGUGGAGCAUCCAAAAUGUAGAAAGUGACAAACUUUGAUAUUACAAUUUUGAAAAGCACAUCAGCAACUUCAUUUGCUUCCCAAUAAACAUGAAGCAAAUUAAAAUUCUAAAAACUAGUACAUAAAGCCAUGAUGUUGUCAAUCAAUGUCUAAGACUCCCCCAUUUGAAGUAAUCAUAUCAACAAUCUCUUUACAGUCACAAUUAACCUCCACAUUGGUAAAACCACAAUCCUUAGCAAGUUUUAGUCCAUCAUACAAUUCCUAUAAUUCAGCUUCCAUGGCUGAAGAUAACCCUAGUCAGUAUGAAAAACCUAUCAGCCAAUGCCUUGUUUCAUCUCAGAUCAAUCCAACAGCUAAGGGGAAACCAUCUUUAUUACUAUAUCAGACUACAUUGAGCUUGACCUAACCCUCAUUAGGUGGUAAUCAACCAAUAUAACUCACACAACUUGUGUUACCAUGUAGCAAUUAGAUACAAGAUUGCUUAGUAUAACAACUCACACUCUCAAAAAUAAAUUUAUUUCGUUGCUUUCGGAGUAACCAAAAAACUACACCAAAUAAUAUCUUUCAAUCUAAACCCUCCUUAUUAAACAUUAGAUUGCAGCUUAAAUUACCACUAACCCAAUUAGAUAAAGAAAAGAAAAAAAAAACUUGGUGCUCUCAAUUUCACAAUCGUAGACAUCAUUAUAUUAUAUUCAACUAGUUUAGUUGUUGUUUAAUAAGUAUUUAUAUAGAUCUUCAUUAUGUUAGCAAGUCUCGAAAUAUCUAUGUAAUUGAGAUAUGUAUAGGUUAUUGUAAUGUUUUUUAGAGCACUUAAUUUGUUCAAGUGAGGAAUAUUAUUUUUGAGAGUGCAAUUGAUUGUCAAACAUUUGUGUUGUGGUUUUACAUGCUAAGUUUACAGUGGUGAACUUAAUAGUGAGAGUACCAACCUUCUUGGAUACAAAAAUGAGGAAAUUAUCACAAGGGUGUGAUAGAUUUAGGUUCACUUAUUGUAAGCAUUGAAAAUAAUGGAUAUUUCUCACUGAGUUAGGCUCCAUAGACAUAAGAAAUCGAACUACGUAAACAAAAUUUGUUGUUCCCUAGUUUAUUCUUUGUUUCAUAGUGGUUGAAGAAGUGCCCACCUCCGUAGGUACUUCUUCUGUGUCUUAGCUUGUGCUUGCAACUGUUUUCAAGUCAACAAUUUUCACAUACAAAAAGUGUCAACCUUUUGUGGCAUUACAACGCCUUGAAAACUUCAAUGGUUGAAAAUUCGUUAAGUGUCGAAAAAUUUGUGACGUUUUGAGAUAUUAAAUUGAAAGGUUUUCCAAGAAUGGAUAUCGAGUUAUUUCCAUAAAUUAAUAUAAGUGAUUUUUCAUUAAUAAUUUAGAUUUAAUUAGUUGAAAUUGAGGAAUUAAAAACUUGGCCUAUGAACUAUUUUGUCAUAAAGGGAAACUUUAGUGGUCAAAUGUCUAAGAAAUAAAUUCAUGAUUUAGGAAAUAAGAGAGAGGCUUAUGUGUUAAAUAUCAUAGAGAUUAAAUAGCUAAUUUCUCAUGAAAUGAAUUAGAGGGAGAGUUAGUUAUUUCCCACUCAAAUUCAUACCAAUGCUAGAGAAAACUACUAUUUUUCUCUUUAUUUUCUCUUCAAUCUUGGAGCAAAAUCAAGCAAUCAAGGAAGAUAAGUUAGAUUUCUAGUGAUUUCUUCAUCUAAUUAAAAGAGUUUUUAGAUUUGAUAUUUUUUAUGGAAAAAAAAAGAAGAUUCUUUUUUUCUCUUUUCACGCUAACUUCUUUAUGUAAUAAAGGAAAAUGCUGGUGGUCAAAUGUUUAAGGAUUAAAUUAUGAUUUUAGAAAUAAGAGAGGGGUUUAUGCGUGAAAUAUCCCAGAGAUAACUUAGAGAGAGAGUUAGUUCUUUCCCACUCAAAUUCACGCCAAAGCUAAAGAAAACUACUAAGGAAUUUUUUUGUCUCAAUUUUCUCUUCAAUCUUGGAGCAAAAUCAAGCCAACAAUGAAGGUAAGUUAGAUUUCUAGUGAUUUCUUCAUCAAAUCAAGAGAGUUUAUAGAUAGUUGAACAAGUUUUUUAUUUUAUCUCUUUUUCACACCACCUUCUUUUGGAAAAAGAGUGUGUGUUGAUUUUUAUAAUUUCUUGAUGAAUUUUGAGGCAAGCUUGUGUUAAUGUGAUACAAAAGACAUCGAAGCUAUACAACAUAUUGUCUUAGAUAUGAUGAUCAUUCGGGACCCUUGGAGCUUGUUUUCUACCCAGCCUAAGCUACAUGGCAUGCUUCACUAUUUCAUUAUGACCUAAAUCCAGUGAGAUUUCCUUCAUUUGCGCAAUGGUGGAUUUCAGCACAAAAAUGCUUGCCUCCUUUAACUCUUUUCUUGGUCCCAAGCUCAUUGCUUCAUUUGUUAGGAGAUUAGGAAAGCCUACAAUACCGUUAUUUUCAAAGGAAAAAAGAGGACUUGGUUCAGGUUGGGAACGAAGCCUUUAAAGGAUAUUUGGACUUUCUUGCCUCAAAUCUUCUUUCGUUCUCAUUUUUCCCUCCACCACCUCUUUUUUGACAUGGAUUUCUCCCCUAGAACGCGGUUUAAAGAUUAAUUGUGGCACAAAUUUCUCUUCUUUGACCUCUACUACUGGUAUUGUCACAUUUGUCGGAGACAACCUAAGGUGUGUAGUUUCUGGAGCUAAUGUGCUAGUCUACUCUUCUUCUAUUUUAGCAACAAAAGCCUCCUCUUUAAGGCUUGGCUCAAAACUUCUACACUCUUAUCAUUGACAAAGUGCCAUUUUAGAAUCUGAUAGCAUGCUCUGCAUUGAUGUUUUAAACUUGGAUUCAGAUCAUUCUUAGGAACCAUCUGCAGUCCUAGACAACAUUCUCAUUUAGCAUGUGAAUUGCUAAACCAACCUUAUAUGAAACCUUUCCGUUGAAUUGUGUUCGCAUACCUUCAAUGGAUUUAUGACAUUUUAUAAAAAUAAUAUUAAGAAAUAAUUAAUUACAAAAAUGGGAUGGAAGAAAAAUUAAUUAUGAAAAUGGCUCUUUUGAUACAAUGCACGACGGUGCCGCUUGACACACCGGUGACACCAUUCCACUUUUCGGCCAAUGAUAAAGCAAUUAGUGCAUUUAAAAAAAUUUGGUGACACCACUUUGUCAGGCGGCACAGAUAUGUAUUUUUAAAAAAUACAUAAAUAAAUAUAGACAGUGAAAAAGAAAAAAAAAUUAUGAGUGUCACUUAACAAAUCGACAGCAUUACUUAUUUCUUUAGCUAUUGUUUCACUUGUUUCAUUGAUGUCCUUCAGCGCUUCUUUCACCUUCUCUUGUUCCAUCAUUAACAUUACCAGGGUCUUUUCCUCCUGUGCCUCUAAAACUAACAUUAUGUUUAGUAACAUCUUUUUUUUGUCAAUCAAAAUUUCUUUAUAAAAAAUUAAAGUAGUGCCGUCGGACUCUUAGGCGGCACUUAUAAAUUUAUUUUUUCUUCAAUGCACAUUUUAAAAUACAAAUAUUUUUAAAAAAAAAUUGUUAUUGACUGAUGAUAACUGAAAAGUGAGGGUGGUAUCGUCAAUUUAUCAGGCGACACGGAUAAAUACAGUAAAUUCAUAUCAUAAUUAAUUGUUGUUGCAUACUUUUUAUGUAAUUAAUUAAUUUUUAAUUACGAAUGAUAAGCAUAUUAAAAAAACAAAAAAGCAGCUAAAACGUAGUCGUUUAAUAAAUAUCAGCAUUGAAACACCAUUAUCAUUUGAUUUAAUUUUUGUUUUUGUUGUUAUCCAUCCAGUCCAGUCCACACUUAUGGCAGGCUCGGUGGUUCCACCAAUGCUUCUCUCUGCAACAACAUCCCAACUCCCUCUUUCCCCGCCUAACUCCUCCACCAACCAAACCCUUCCACGUGCCCCCCUCUACCACCUCUCCUCCUCCUCUCUUCCCAAACCCCCUCUCAAACACCUCAACCUCAACUCCACCUCCCUCCACCACGUCUCCGCCCCCACCCUCCCCGACGACGAUGAAUCCCCCCAAGCCCAACCCGCCAUGGUCUCCUCCGCCUCUGCCGUCUCCGCUGCCAUCCGUAAAGCCUCCACCUCCCCCGUCGACUUCACUCAAAGAAUCGAGAAAAACGACCACCGCAACCACAAAUUAAUCAUGCCUACCCCAGACUUCCAGCGCCUCUGCCUCGAACAACUCGACCUCUUUCGCCGUAUCGUUGACCACGACGCUGUUCUCUCCGUUUAUGUUAGGCCUGCCGGUAGUUACGUCAUGGACCAGCUGGAGUUACGUCGGGUUACCUCGUAUCCGGGAGUCGAAGCCGCCGACAUUUUGUUUUUAGUCGGAAACUUCACUGUCCCCGCAGGACUGCGUGCCGCUGAAGCGGCGCUUUCAAGUCAACAAAUGGAGGUUGUGGGGGAGCAUAGAGCGGUGGUAUUUCCUAUGGUGAAGCAGCCGUUCGUGGUGGGCUUCUUGGUGGCGGAGCUCCCGGGGAUGGAGAAGGUGCCGCAGGGGAGUGGAAGUGGGAACAUGGUUCGUUUUCCGACUCCUGAGGAGGCUUACGCGUUGUCUUCUCCUUCUCCAGGACUGGGUAUGAAAAAAUCGUGGGAAAUUCAGUCUCUUGAGAAUGAAGCCAUGAGGCAAAAUGACAUCUUUACUGUUGACGAGAGUUCCAAUGCCAUCAAUAUAUCUCGAACUUUAGCAGUGGCUUAUGUUAUGGAUCAGGUUAGUCACUCACGUCAUAUUUCUUCUUAUCUUUAUACUACCAAUAAUUUAUUUCAUUGCCAUUAUCAAGCGAAAAAAGAAUUUAGCUUUGCCAUGUUAUGUUGUAUGUAUGUAGGAACUUAAUGUGAUUUUACUUGUGUGUCUUGAGUCAAUGCAACUUUUAUAUUAAUCGUAUUUCUUCCGUAGAAAGCUAUUUUAUUACAGCAAUCGACAUGGCAAAACAAUGUCAGAAUGGGUGCUCUGGUUGAGCAGGUAUAAUGUGUUGCCUGCUGUACAUACAUUUCCUUCUUCUUCUUCUUUUUUUUUUUUUUUAUUGUUCAAGUUAUUAUGGUUUUUCCUUUAAAUUUCAAAAUUUUCUUACAGAUUCGCGGUCCUCUUUCCAGCAUUAGGACGUUAAGUAAAAUGCUAUCCACUCAUGUCAAAGAACAUGAGGUUAGUCCUUGAACCAUCUGAAAAAAUGUUGAUCCUACUUUUCGGUUUUAAGUGUUUCAUUCUGCAAUUCUUUCGACUGUUACAUAUUUAAUUAAGGAAAGCAUACUCUUGUAGAUUUCUCACGACAUUGUUGAAGACAUAUUGGUGCAAGGUGACUGUAUCAGCGGCACCCUUCAAGAGCUACAAGAUGCUGUUUACUUGACAAAGGUCAUUUUUCUCUCAAAGCAUGUAGAGAUACACACAUUAAGACUGUUGCUGCUUCUUCUCCUUUUCAUUUUUCUUCUUUUGACGAUUCAGAAUGUCUUUCUUUCUUUUGGUUGAUGUGAUACAAUAGCUCUCUGUUAUGUCUUUCUGUUCCCAGUUAGUUUCAUUCUUGGAAUUAAAAGUUUCCCUUUUCUAGUUAUCUUCACGCCCAUAUCUGAUUUUCCUAUCUGACUUGUUUUUAGGCUAAUAUAAUGCGCUACAAUGAAGGAUCCUUGAAAAAGAUGCGUAAUUCAACUCAUUCGCACCCUGAGUCGCCAAGAUCUCAAUUAUCAGAUGAUUUCUCCAGGGAUAGGUCUGGCAAUAGGUCAGAAACCUCUGGUUUACUACUAUCCCUAAGUACCACAGAUAAGGAUUUAGAGAUGCCAAUGCCACCUCUGGCUCUUGCUCCAUUACAAGAACACGGAAUCAGGUAUGCAAUUCCCUUCUGGUACUUGAGUUCAUCUCCUCAUAAAAUAAAAUAAAACCUAAUUAAGUGUUCAAUCAUAUCAAUUAAAUUCCAGUAGGAGAUUCCUCUUUUACAGUUCAAAUUUGAUGUUAAACCUCAUGUAGAAAAUUGUUUAUGAUGCUAAUUGUUGGAGAGUGUAUAGAUUACAUAGCCUGAACUUGUGCUGUGAGCCUAGGUUGUAGUCUAAAGCUGAAUAUAGGCUAAACUGCUUAUCUUUCCUCUAAAUAGCCUUGAUAAUAAAUCACUUAGUUACUUUUCAAUUGAAUGCAAUCCAUCCCCAUCUCUUAUUGGACAUGCAAUAUAUUUCUACUAUUGAUUUCUUUUAGCAGCGUUAUUAUAAGUUUUGUUAUGUUUGUUCUUUUCUCAGGAAGUCCUGCAAUAUUUCUGAUGUACUCACUGAUUUAGUUGAUGCCGCGAGACCUCUUGCACAUAAGCAGCAGCGCAUGGUGGAAUUAAGUGAACUUUCGCAGCCUUUGCAAGUGGCUAUAGAAGAACCUGCUUUGCGCCAAGCCCUGAGCAAUUUGAUAGAGGGUGCAUUGUUACGUACUCAGGUUGGGGGGAAGGUUGAAAUUGUUUCUACUAGUGCACCAGCAGGUGGUGCUCUACUAGUAAUUGACGACGACGGUCCAGAUAUGCACUAUAUGGUAUUGUUGGAGAUUCCUUUUCCUCUGUGAUAGCUUUUGCUUUUUUGUUCAUUUUAGAUAGUAUUGAAUGCCUUUAGUAUGUCCUGUUUUGCUACUUAACCAUUAGUACAUGUAUUUCUUUGUUAAUGCUUAGUGUCUCCCCUAUUACAGUUAUCUGGGAAAUUGCAGUUAUUUUACUUGCUUUUGAGUUAGAUCUCAUGCUCAUCAUAAAUGAAAUGUUUUGGUGAUGUAUGUAUUUGCAGACACAGAUGCAUUCCCUCACACCAUUUGGUGCCGAACUCUUUUCGGAGAACAUGAUUGAAGACAACAUGACUUGGAACUUUGUUGCUGGGCUGACUGUAGCACGAGAAAUACUUGAAAGUUAUGGGUGUGUUGUCCGUGUGAUAUCACCUCGGACCACGGAUGCUGCUCUGGGAGCAGGUGGAACUCGUGUAGAACUAUGGCUUCCUUCUUUUGCUGCAUUAUCCGACAUAAACAACCUUAGUCAAGAGGCAUAACAAGAAAGUAGGAUAUUAUGUUGUUUUGAUUUAACUCGGGGCUUAUCUGGAAUUCCCCGCUCGCACCAACACAUGUAUUAGUAUCUAAAUUUGAGGGAAAUUUGUAUAGUUGAAUUCUGGUGCAGUGUAUACAUAUACAUAUAUAUUUAUAUAUAUAUAUAUAUCACGAAGAAGAAAAGGAAAUUGUAAAUGAAAAUGUAUUCUGGUGCAGUGUUUACAUAUAUAAUAUAUCAUGAUUUGGGUACAAAUUUUGAAUUUGAAUUUAAGGGUCUUAAGUGUAAUUUCAUAAAAAAUUCAUUUUAAAACUUAGAAUUUUCAAAAUAUAAAAUUGAUUAAAAAAUAUGAGAAUUUUUUUAUUCCCUUCUUUUCACACUUCCUUCGAAGCUCAAAUAAUAAAUAAUUAAUUAGCUCAAGGUUUUUAAAAUUGAAUCAACAGGUGAAUUGAUUAAGCUUUUAAUUUUUGAAUCAAUCAAUUUAAUCGACCCAAUUGGUUGAAUUGAAUCAAUUAUUAAAAAAUAUUUAAAAACAGAUAAAAUCAAUUUGAUUGUUGGCUUGACUGAUUUGAUCAAUAUUCUAAUUGAUUGUUCAAUCGGCUGGUCCAAUUCUAUUUAGCUAACAAUGUUAAAAAAGUCUUUUAAACAAUUAAAUUUUAAAUAUAUAUAUUUUUUUAAGACCUAGAAUUAGUUGAAAUCCAAAUUUGAAUUUGAAUUAUCGAAAUAAUGAAUUUGGAUUAAGUCAAUAUUUUGAAUUUUAAAUAUUUUAAUUCCUAAAAGAAAUUGAAAUAAUAAAUUUAUAAAUCAUAAUUUCAAAGUCAAUUUCAAAUCUAAAUUUUAAUUCUCUAAUGCUUCGUAAUUGAAUUCACACUAUUUACUUGUUUAGUAAUACUUAAAAAAAGCACUUUUGGCUCCAAAAAUAUUUUUGGAAGAAAGGCUGUGCUAAAAAAGUUGCUUUUAGCUUUUAUGGAAAUGGGAAGUUAAAAUUUUAAUAAAUUUUAUUAAUCCAUAUAAAUAUAAUUUAUCAAGAAGUGGUUGGGUGUAAUUAUUCCAAGAUGUAACCAUUUUUUUAAAUUACAAAUUUUUACAAUUUUUAAUAUUUUUUAUAAUUUUUACAAUAUUUUAAAAUUUUUAAUAUUUUAAUAUUAUAUUUUUUUAUUUUUAAAAAUUUCUAACAUAUUUAUAUUUUUUAAAAUAUAUAUUUGUAAUUUUAUUUUGGAAUUUUGAAUUUUUAUUUAUUUAAAAACUCUUUUAAAUUUUUACAACAUCAAUAUGUGAAAAAUGACAGAUUAUGAUUUAUUAGAUAUUCUAAUCGAUUUUUUAAACAUCUAAAGAAUUAAAUUGAGAAUGUCUGAUAAUGCUUGAGAUUAGACUAAAAAUAUUUGAUAAUUUUAGAGACUGAAAUAAACCAAAAAGAAAAUUUAAGGAUGAAAGUGAGAAAACCAAUAUAUUUAAUAAUUGAAGGAGUACAGAGGACAAGAAAAGCAAAAAGAUAAAAGAGAAGAGCAAUGCCAAGGAAGGAGCCAUGCACCGGAGAUUCGAUAUCCUUAAAUUUUCUAAAAUUGAGUUUUAGAAAUUUUUAUUUUAUAUUAUAAUUAGUGUUUUAAAAAAUAAAUUUCUAUUUGUCUCUUUUAAAGUUUUCAAAGAUUUUCUGAAUUUAAUUUCUUUUAUAAAAUUUAUAAUUUUUUAUAAUAAAUUUAGUAAUAUUUUUAGUUUAAUUUGGUAAAUUAAUAUAAAGUAGUAUCUAAAUAUUAAUCUGGUAAAAAUAAAUUUUAAUAAUUACAAUAUCUAAAUAUAAAUGGUACCUAAUUAUUAGUUAAAUAAAAAAUAAACUUAAAUAAUUAUAAUCUCUAAUAGGAAUUAAACAUUUAACUUAUUUUAUUUUUCUUAAAUUUUAAUAAUUAAAAUUAUCCUAAAUUUAAAAAUGGCGGGAGACUACUUUGAACAUUAAUAUUUAUAAAAAUAUCACGAUCAUUCUUAUCAACAACUCUAAUUUCGCCUAAGUAUACAUUACUGAAUACACAAGCCCAGACACUACAUGGAAAGCCAAAGGUAAAAAGGAAGGAGAAAGCUUUCAACUGCUAUUUUCACUUUGUUGUGACUUCAACUUAUUGCUUUGGAUUGGAUACCAUAAUAUGAUUCAAAUGAAUUGAAAUUUGUACUUCAAUGUUUUUUGUUUUUAUAUAUAUAUAUAUUUAUGUAUUUGAUGAUUUUCCAUUAUGAAUCUCUGGUUUGUGGACUUUUCCCUUUUAUGGUUUCUCUUGAUGGUUGACCGACUUGUGUUGCGCAUUUUGGUGCGGUAAUCUUGCUCACUAAUUUGGACUCCUAUCACCUCACCUUGCGCCCCUUUGAAAUAUUUGAAAAUAAUCCUUGCUGACUUAUGAGUUCUUUAACUUGUUUGUGUUUAAUUCUCAUGAAACUUUUAAGUCUUUUGUCGUAUAAAAACAUGGAGAUGUGCAUGUUUUGUUGAAAAAUAUGGACAUCACAUAUAUAAUAUGGAUAAUUACAUGUUAUUAUUUACUAUCACGAUAGGUUAGCCCAAAUUAAAAGAGAUCUAAUUUGGUUAAAAUUUUAUUCGACUUUAAUUAUUAAAUAAAGUAUGGGUCAAAAUGUAUAGAUACUCUAGUAAUUCAGUUCUAAUCAAAUUCUAAUUAAUUAUGGGCUAAUUAGAAUUUGAUUAGAAUUAAUAUGCCACGGUUAUAAAUAUUAGGGUUAUAGUCCCCAAAUUAUACAUAAGAUAUCUUUUCUAAUAUUCCAUCAUUAGGAAAGAGAUAGCAGAUAUUCUCUGAAUUUUUUGUGUGCUAAUUUGGAAGAUCAAAUUCCCAAGAUCCAGAAAGUUUCAAGAAAUCCAUGGAUUCAGGUACGCUUUCACAUAUAGUUUUGUUACUUAUUUAUUCUUGAUAAUUUGACAUGAUAGAUCCUGGUUUAUUAAGUUUUAUUUUAGAUUUAUUUUAUAAAUCUAACAAGUGACAUCCGAGCUUUGUUAUGUUGAAUCAUUGAGAAUGAAUUGAUUCUUUAUUAAUUUUGGAUUGAUUCGUUUUUCUUUUUUAGUUUUAUGGAUUUGAUAUUUUAAUUAUAUAUUAUGUUGAAUCUUUGAGAUUCUUGAUGAAUUUUUGGGUUUUGAUUCUUUAAAUAAAGUUUUAAGCUUUUAUAAAUAUAAUCUAGUUUAAUAUUUACAUAUGCUAUUCGAAAGAUGAAGGUUUAUUUAUUUAUUUAUAAUCAAUUGAUAAAAAUUGAUUUGUGAGAUUUCUUUCUCUUAUUUUCACACAAUUAUUUUAUAAAUUUUGGUUAAAGUCAUUAUUAAAUUAAAAUUUACUUACAACUUUUUUACAAUUGAAGAAUUCCAAUUGGGCUGUAUAAUUGAUUUUGAAAGUUAAUUCACUUGAUAAUCGAAUAAAUGAAUGUUGGUAAGAUAUUUUUUUUCGCACUAUUUAUUUUAAAUUUUCUGUUUGUAAUUGAAUAUAUAUGGAAUCAUCAUCCUUUAUCUUUAUUUAUGAUGAAUUAUAUUCACCAUAGAAUUCAAUUCAUAUGUAUGAUUGAUUACUUUUGGUUUCUUUUAUAAUUAUUUUAUGUAAGUUUUAGUUUUUAUGGAAUCUGACUAGAAUUAAAAUAUUUGGGAUUAUUUUUUUAAAUAUGAUGGCUAUGAAUUUUCAUAGGUAGUUGCACAUAUAAAGGCUUUUAUAUAAUUUGAGAUUCUUUUUAUAUUUUGUGGUUAUAAAUUUUUUAUUUUUUUUAGUAUUUGUGCGUAUAAAGAAGUUUUUAUGAUAAUGUCUUUAGUUAUGAAUAUAAAUUUAAGUUUACAUGAAAUAUGUAAGGCAAGCCAGUAUUAUUUUUAUAUUUGUGUGUGUAUAUAUAUUAUAUGCAUAUCAAUGAUUUUAAGGAUUAAUGCAUGAUUAUAGUUUGUAUGAACAGGUGUUUAUAACCAUUAUUCAAUAAGAUAUCUUUUAUAGUUUAAUUGGUGAAAUUAAGUUUUGAUGGAUAUCAUUGAAGUUUUUUUUUUGUUAUCGUUAUAUAUUCAAUUUUAUGGGUUUGGUGCAAAUUCAUGUCAACUAUAUACAUAUUUAAAUAUUUUGGUUUUAAAUUUGGUUAUAUAAUCUUAGGUUUUGGCAUCUUAUGGUUCCAAAUAUUUGGUUAAAUUAUGAUGAUAUGAUUUAUUGUAUGAAUUGUGAGAUAUGCCAACUAUUAUGAUUUUUUUUUUGAGAUUUAUUGGCUUGAAAAUAUUUUUCAAGUAUUUAUGUGAAUAUCUCUUUAAUCAUAAAUAUAACUUUGGAUUUACAUGGUAAAUUCAGGGUAAGUUUUUCUAUUUGAUUAUGAAUACAUGUAUAUGCGUGAAUUGCUUUGGUGCUUUUAUCCAUGCUAAAAUUAUGAAUACAUGUGCUUGUUAAUUAUUUGGCUUUAAAACACUAUAUUAUUUCUGUUUGGUUUUGAUAUAUAUGAUUUUGGAACAAAAAAAAUAGUCAAAAAAAAUUAAAGUUUUCGGUUUUUUAUUGCAUUAUUAAAACAACCUUAUUUUCGGUUAUUUCAGAGUCUAUAAAGUAAUAAAAAAAUAGUUUUGACAUUUGACUAUUGGAGAAUUUAAAUUUGAAUAUUGGUAUGUUUAUAUAUAUUUUAAAAUAACUUAAUUAAAGCAAAAAGUCACCAAAGUGAUUUUUUUUGUAUAAAUUAUUUUAUUUUAAAAUAUAAAAAUUUGUGUGCAUGUAACUUAAGUUAUGUUAAUAUUGAUUGGCCCAAAUGAAGGUUAAUAAUAUUACAUGUGCAAUUAUGGUGAUAAACAUGUGACGAUUAUUCGGUUUUACAUGUGAGUAAUAAAUUGGCCCAAAGGAAGAUUUAUUAUUCGACAUGUUCUUAUUGUCAAUGUUUGAUUACUCCACCAAUAUAUCACUUACAAGUUAAUAUUUUGUCCAAAGAUGAUGUAUAGAUAUGUGUACCAUACCGAAGAUGAAUUUCCUGGCGAAAUAUCUCAACCGGCUGCUAUUAUUCAACAAAUUACGGACUGGCUGAAAUUAAUAAAUUACCAUGGUUGCCGCCUGCUAAUAGGGCGAGCAGCGUAAUGGAGUCCCCCGGACGGACGACGUGAGCGAGAGCCCAGACCAUAGCGGCUUUAAAGACUUCUCUCUCGGCUUUAACGGCGACGAAAACGUUGUCCGAGAGGCUUUCCUUUCUGCUUUACUGUGGUUUACCCAUAACCAUCAGCGGAAUCUUGAUAUGAGGUUUUCCUUUAUUCAAAUUAUUUUAGUUUAAAUUUAAAGUCUUAUGCCAGAUUAUUUUGAUUUAUUCAGCUAUUAUUAUAUUUGCCUACAUCACUGUAUGUUUUUUUGGGAUAAAUAUAUAUAAAUAUAUAUUAUUAUCUUUUAAUUUGAUUGAAAGAUGAAAUUAAGGUAAUUAUUUUGAAACAAAUAAAUUUAAAUUUUGGCUUUUAAUUAAGGAUGUCUAAUAUUUUAAAUAAAUUAGUUGAAACAAAAUGCCACCAAAGUGACCUCUUUUGUGUAGAUUAGUUUAUUUGAAAUAUUAAGAUGAUUAUAUGUUUUUGUGAUUCUUGCGUUUAUUAAUUGACCCAAAGGUAAGUUAAUAUUUGGCAGAAUUACAACGACAUCUGUGGUGAUAAAUAUGUGACAAUUAUAAGGUAUUUUAUGUGAGCAAUAAGUUAGUCCAAAGAUUAAUUCAUUGUUUGACAUAGUUUAUUGUCAAUGUUUGAUUGCUACAACAAGAGUAUCGCUUACUGUUAAUAUUACUGUCCAAAGACUUGAUAUUAAUGUUGUGUUUGGUGUCUUGAGAUGGGAUUAGCCAUUAUCCUGAAUUUAUUGUUUACUUAUAAAUAUUGAUGUGAGCUUAUUUUUUAUUCUAUAUUCAAUUAAUUCAUCUUCUACUGCCACAAUAUCUACUAAUAUAAAUUCUAUACCCAUGCUUAAUGGGACUAAUUUUAAGGAAUGGAAAACGCACUUACUUAUAGUGCUUGGUUGUAUGGACAUAGACCUUGCACUAAGGGAAGAACAACAUGCACCUCUCACUGCGGAAAACACCCCUUAUGUUAAGAGGGAUUUUGAGAGGUAGCAUCGGUUCAAAUUGCAUGAGUCUAAUGAUCAUGAAGCACAACAUUUUAGAAGCCUUUAGGGACAUAGAAUCUGAAAAGAUUACUCAGGCCAAUGUUUCCUUGACGAAAUUGAGAAAUGUUUUGCUAAAAACGAUAAAGUUAAAAUGACAUCAUUUCUAACUUCUUUGAUGUCUAUAAAGUAUAAGGGUCAAGGAAAUACUGAGCGAUCUAAGGGCUAUGAAUUUUAUGAGCCCACAUUCUUUUAGGAUGUUGAGUUUUGGAGGGAGAAAUAAUGUUAGAGACAUUGUUUUUAAGGAGGAAUUAGAUUUUAACUCAGUUCCUACUAUCACUUUUGAUGAUGUUUAGGUUCUCAUACCUAUCAUUGAUUAAGAAGUGAAUCUAGAACCUCAAUAAGACAAUGUUAAACAACUCCCUAUUCAAGAUGAGAUAAUUGUUCCAGAAGAACAAACUCAACAACCUCAAGAAUGAAUGUUAUUAAAAAUGUCCACUAGGGAAAGGAUUAUAAUGGCUUUAGUGGAAUAUUUUGACAUUAAGCUACAUCAGAUGAAUAUUAAGUUAAUGGUUUCUCAAUGGUAUCAUUGAUCAUACAUUUAUAUUGUGCAAUUAAAAAUCUUUGUGUUUGAUGAUGCAAAGGUAAUGAUUUGCAGAUUAAAGAACUUCAUCUAUGUGCUUAAGUAAACUUCUCGUCAAUAAUAUUACAAAAUUUACCAAAUGAUUAUCUCAUUCGAUUUAGAGAUGAAUUUUGUUGAUAAUCGUAUAUACCAUAAGUUUAGUGGGAGUAAGGUUCUAUAUUUGGUUUUAUAUGUUAAUGACACACUGCUUGUCAAUAAUAAGUAUAGCCUCAAUCAAUGCCCUAUGAAUGAUUUUGAGAUUACAAAAAUGCAUAAGAUUUUUUACAUUUUAGCAAUGGAAAAUAUAAUGUACAUUCAGGUUUGUAUACAUUGGAAUAUUGUGUAUAUUAUUGGGAUGUUAGGCAGAUAUUUUAAGCAACCCUGGUUUGGACCAUUGGAUAGCAUCCAAAAGGGUUAUAAGGUAUUUUUAGAGAACAAAAGAUUACAGGCUCACAUAUCAGAGAUCUAAUUAGUUAGAGAUCAUCAGGUAUAUAAACUCCGAUUUUGAUGGAAUAUGGAUACAAGAUUUUGACAUUAAGGUGCAAAUUGUGAAAACAAAUUGCAGUCUUUUAUUCUAAUAGUAACAGGAGCACAUUAAAGUCAAAACACAUAGACUUUAAGUUUCUGGUUGUUAAAGUAAAAGUUUAGAGUGGUUAGGUGCUUAUAAAGCAUAUUAGGACAAACUCCAUGAUUGCGAAUCCGCUUACUAAGGAACUACACCUAAGGUUUUAUAAUAGUACAUUGCUCAUAUGGGUGUAAUGUCAUUUAAAGGAUACUUGGUUUUAGUGGGAGUUUGUAUUUUUAAAUGCUUUUAUGUUAUAGACACAUUUUUAGUUAUUUCAGUUUAAAGAUAAUAAGUUUAUUUUCUGCAGAAAUAAAGUUUAUUUGGUUUAUUCACACUCUGAUUUUGGUAAGGUUUGAUCUCACUAAGGAGGACCAGUUGGAAAUAGACAUGUUUAGAUCAUAUUGCAUGUAAUUUCCAUGCUACACAUCCAUACUUAAUCUAUGUCAUUUGGUUGUGUUAAUAUAUGUGAUCAUGGAUGGAUUUAGUUACGAUAUAUGUAACGAAAGUCACCUUGGUUCUAUGUUAACAUAAUUAAUGGACGAGAUUGUUGGUAUACCUUUUGGAUAUGAUAGUAAAAUUUUGAGCUCAUAAGGUUAUAUAAUGACAUGUAAUUAUAGAGUAAUUAGUAUAUAUAUGUGGUCCAAGUGGGAGAUUGUUGGAAAAUAUGGACAUCACAUAUAUAAUAAGGGUAAUUACAUGUUAUUAUUUACUAUCAUGAUAGGUUAGCCCAAAUUAAAAGUGAUCUAAUUUUGUUAAAAUUUUAUUGGGCUGUAAUUAUUAAAUAAAGUAUGGGUCAAAUAUGUGUAGAUACUCUAGUAAUUCAAUUCUAAUCAAAUUCUAAUUAAUGAUGGGCUAAUUAGAAUUUAAUUAGAAUUAAUAUGCCACAGUUAUAAAUAUUAGGGUUAUGGUCCUCAAAUUAUACAUAAGAUAUCUUUUCUAAUAUCCCAUCAUUAGGAAAGCGAGAGCAGAUAUUCUCUAAAUUUCUUGUGUGCUAAUUUGGAAGAUCAAAUUCCCAAGAUCUAGAAAGUUUCAAGGAAUCCAUGGAUUCAGGUACGCUUCUGCAUAUAGUUCUAUUAUUUAUUUAUUCUUGAUGAUUUGACAUGAUAGAUCCUAGUUUAUUAAGUUUUAUUUUAGAUUUAUUUUAUAAAUCUAACAUGCCUUCCAUAUAAAAAGCAUGUUGAACUCUUUUUGGCAUCAAAACAAUACCACUUCAAUAUUUUUAAAACUGGAUCGAUCAUUAAAUUGGGUCAAACUACUAAUUUUCAUCUUCAUAUAGUCGUAUAUUUUGAGUAUGCACAUAUGUAUUUAUAUUGUGGCAUAUGCAUGGAUAUGUGUGAUUAUAAAUUUCUAAAUGAUGUAUAUUUGUGCUCACAUAUAGUUGUGUGUAUAUACAUGUAUGUGUAUCAAGAUGAUGUUAUGUAUAGUCGUGUGUGUUUGAUUAUAUAAUAUGUUGAUGUAGGUAAAAAUAUCAUGGGGUUUAUGUAUUAAAAAUCGAAUUGUAUUCCGUUUCUUCUAUUCAAAAAAAGAAAAAUUAACUCUUGUAUGUUAAAAAAAAAGUGCAACCUUACGUUAAAUAAUUCACCGUUAAACGAUGACAUAAAAAAAAACAUGUAAAUACAUGAAGGCUUCGCGUAUGCCUCAUGUUGGCGUGGAAAUAUUUAAACAAAUUAAAAAAAUCAUAAAAAUAAAUUAAACAUAAUUUUAUAAUUAUUUUAAAAACUACCUCUAAGAUUAAAAUUUAUAAAAAGUUUUAAAAAUGAUAAAAAUGAUGUCCAAAUGAACCUGAGAUAAUGAUUGUUCAAGCUAGAAUGAAUCUAAACAACCAUAUGUCCAAAUUCAUUUUGAAGUGGUUUCUUAAAUUAUUCACAAAUUAUUAAGACUUAGAUUCUUAAAAAAGUUAUUUAAUUUUUAAGAUUUUUUAAGUUUUUAUAUAUUUACUAAUGUGGCAAAAGGCCAUACAAGCAUGAGGUACACGUGGUACAUUAUGUGUUUUAAUUCGGUUGCUCCGUUAAUCACGUCAUCACUAAACAAUAGAAAUAAAUUAAAUUUUUAAUAGAAGGUCAAUUUAUUUUCUAAUAUAACUUAUAUAAAUUAAUUUAUUAAUUUUAUUAAUGUAAUAUGCAAUCCACCUCCUAAUAUAUAAACUACUUUUAUGAUAAACUACUUUUAUGAUAGAUAUAUGUAGGUGAAAGCUUAAAAAUGAUAUGUUAUGUUUGAACAGUGUUGUGACAAUUCCAUUUUGCUUCAUUGCUUAUUUAUGUCAUUCACUCAUGGCAUCUUUUGUAUGUGCAUGUGUAUCGACUUGUGUUGAUGUUGUUAAAGCAUUUGUUUAAUUGAGAUUAAUGGGUAUUAAAAUGUUUUUUUUUUUAGAAAAAUAAAGCAACACUCGUGAAUUAAUUCGAUGGGAUUCUUUCACCAUGUUAGGUGGGAUUUUAUUAGUUUAUUAUUAUUAUUAUUAUUAUUAUUAAAAACAUGAUGUCAUUUUCUAAACAGAGUCUUCUUAUAUGAAAACUAUUUUUUUGAUUCUUUUUCCAUGCUAAGAUAUACUCAAAAAUUAUUUUGAAAUUUUUAAUUCACUAAAAUUGUUUUUUAUUAUAUCAAAUAGUUUAAUGAUUAAUAAGGUACAACUUAUAUGAGUAUUAUAAUUUUAGAUGUAAUCGAUUUACAAACUCAAAAUUUUCCUAAAUGUGCACAUAUCCUAAAUUUAUCUAUUUAAAAGAAAAAUAAAAAUCAAAAGGUAGGUACACAAUCGCAUCUAAUAAAACAAAUGAACGAGCAAAACGCAAAAUUUCCAAAAUCAUAUGGAAUCAUAUUGCACUAAGUCCUAACCCACUUGAUUUGUCCUUCACCUAACUACAAGUUGAAGGCUCGACUCCACCACCACUACCUACAUAUACAUACAUAGGUUGUUGAUCCUCAAUUUAGACAUUCCAAAUUUUACGGGGAUCUAAAGAAUCAGAUUUGGCAAGCAAACCAUGCUUAAAAUCAGGCUCUUUUGGAGGUUGGGUUAAUGGCCCAUUGCUUUGCCACUUGUUCUUUUCUUAUUGAAAGACUAUGCCAUUUAACGUAGAGAAAAUAACCUUUCACAAAGUCAAUUAUUUAUUAUUUCUUUCAUUUUUGGAGGUAGUUAAUCUUCCUCUCAUAUCUCAUUGUUGGAUGUGCAAGAGUUGGGGAAAAAAACACUAUAUUUAGAGUAUUUAACGUUGAAGCUAUUUGCCAAUCACGAUAUUACUUUAGUAAUAAAUUUGUGUGUUUCCAGUCAAUUGUUUUACAAAUUUUACAAUUAUGUUGAGACCUGAUUAAGGGUGAUAAGCUUUAAAUAGUAAAAUAGAUUAUGUUUAUACUAAUAUUAAGUGUUUAGAUGAGUUCCAUAUCGCAAGUUAAGUGACACCAACUCAAUUAUUAAAUUAAUAAAAGAAUCUUAAAUUUAAUUCAUACAUUUAUAUAAAUCUAUUCACAUUUAAAAGAACUACCCACUUAUUCUUUUAAAACACUAAAAUGUCUAUUCUUGUAGAACAUUUUUGUUUGCUCUUAUAGCAUGGUUUUUUUCUUGAAGCCUCAUUCUUUUUUUUUAUUUUCCUCAUUUUUUUACCAACCUCUAAGAAAGGUUCAUAAUGAAAAAUGAUAUAGUAGGUUUAAGCAUUAAGGAUGGUGAGGAGGAGGCAUGGCAAGUUAGUUCGAGAGAGGAUUAUUCAAGUCCAAACUAUAACCUUUUGUUUAGUCAGUAGUUUUCUAAUCAUAAGUAUUGUCCAUUUCCAAUCAAUGUGUGAUGGCAUGUUUAUUUUACAUAUUUUACGUGUUCAGAUCAUUUAAUUCUUGAAAUAAUUCCUACUAAAAUUAAAUUCUAUCACGAACAAAAUUCAGAUGCUUUAAUUUAAAAACAAGCAGAAAAGGAUUAAAUUGGAGCACAAGCAAUAAAAGAGGGGCCGAAUUAGAAAUUUAGAGAAAUUUAAGGGUUGGUCAUAUUUUUUAUUUUGUAAAAGUCAUAUUUAGCAAAAAAUCUUAUAUGAAUAUAAUUUCAUGUAACUGGCUGUUAGGUGAAUUAAGCUAAGUUUAGUACAUGAUAUAUAUAAAUAAGGUGUGUCGUAACCUUUAAAAAACACACUUGAAUACAUUGGAAAUUGAAUGAAAUUAUUUUUAUUCAUUUCUAUUUCAUGCCUCUAUAGCCAUUUCUUUUUCAUAAGGAUUGUGCCAUUUUUUUUUCAUUUCAUUUUUCUUUAUUUUUACAAAUUUGUUUAAUUAUUUUCCAAGACUCUUCCCUUUCCAUCUUCCAUAAUUUCCAUUAAAUCCACUUUCAUACUCCACUAAACUUCUACUUAGUUUCAGGACGGUAUUCUUUCCGAUCAAGAAUCAUGAGAAACUGAAUCCGUACUGAAAAUCUUACAUAACUGUAUUUACCAUCUCUCUAGAAUAUGGGUUAAAUUCAAUUCAAAAAGCAUGGUUGGGUUGGAGUUGUCUAAUGUACAGUUGGGAAGUCAAGUCGGUCGUGUUGUAUUCGAAUUCCUGCGAACAAAUUGGUGUAUCCUGGCUGGGUCAUACUAGAAGGAUUUUCGUCAAGGGAGAUAGUGAUCGGAUUUAAACGACCCACGCGGUUAAGGCCGUUGAUCCGAGCCGGGUUCUUCAGAACACAACGCUGCCACAGUCUUGAAUUGCAAACGCAUGUAUCGCGGUUAAACAAUAAGUAAGGGUUGGUUUGCAGGUCGUACUGGAAUCAACUACGAAAGGAAGAAUUGGCGAUUAGGUGUUAUUAGCUGCUAUAACCAUCUUAUUGUUUGGAGGAGAAAACUCAUUUUCAAGGGUUGAUUUAGAACUAGAAUUAACCAAGUCUAAGGCUAAGAAUUUAUAUUAUUGUUUACGAAGUUCAACUCAUUUACUUCCUUUAUUUUCGAUUAGUAUAGUUGUUAUUUGUUACUAUUUGAUUUUAUUUGCUUCCCAAACAUUUUCACUUCCCCCUUUAUUUACUUUAUUUUAUCAAGCUCGUCACUAGUCGUGGGCACGACUAUUAUCACAACAAUAAUUUUGCUCACAAGAAAAGGCAAAAUUAGACAACCAAUUCCUAUAGAAUCGACCCUAUUGCUCUAUAUUGCUAAUUCGCAUUAUUUUGUCAUAGGAAUUUUUAUUUGGUGGUUUUUACGCCCAUCAAUGCGCAAUACUUUAGUUAAUACACGGUAUUCUAUUGGUGGCAUUGGUAUUAUCAAUAUAGGGGAGAAAAAUUUUUGUUCAGGUUCCACUAGGAAGUGGAUUUAGAUAGGGCCAUCGAUGGUGAUCUUAAUACGUUUAAUAAUAAUCUUCUGGUGAUCCAUAGGCUAUCUGUUGGAAAAUCGGGUUUGAAAAACAUAACAAAAAAUAAGUUUAAGGGAAAAAUAAGAGUUUUAUUUUUUUCCCAAAAAUAAGAACUUGGUUGUGAGAUCUAAAGCAAUAAACAAUUAAUCAAAUUACAUUUUCGAUUCAUCUGGGAUGAACGCUUCAACGUACUAUUCUCCACUAUCCUCAAGCUCACGUCUGUCGAGUGUGAGCUUGCUUCGAAUUAGAAAUUUUUUCACAAAAUUACCUAUGACGUAAUUUCACAAUUUCUCUAAAAUUUUAGGUCAAGUUGUAAAUAAGAAAAAUAUCUCUAGAAAUCUUCUGAAAUAAUUUCUUUAGAGAAUUUUCUCUCUACAAUUUUUUCGUGAAUUUAAGUUUGUGAAAAAUAAUUACCAAAGACUCUCUUUAUAUAUAGAGAGUUUAAAGAGUUCAAUUAAGAUCAAACUUAAUCACUUUAAUAUUAAAUAUAUUAAAUUAAUAGAAUAUUUAUCUACAAGAUAAAUAUUAAAUUAAAUCCAAUAUUAAGAUAAGUAUUAAAUUAAAUUAAAUAUUAAAUUUAUUAAAAUAUUAUUAUUUUUGGAAUAGUUAGUCUGAAAUCAAAUUAUUCGGUAGAGUACCAGUAAGAGUGUGAUUCUUCCAUUGCUCAACCGUCAAAGAACCACCAUCGUCGAUCAUUUUUCAGCCAUCGAAAUUGUCGUUGUCGCAACCGCCAGCACCAACGUGCCCAAUGGUGUCAUCACAAGCGCGACACCGGUUCGUUCUGAGCUAGUGACGACCUAACCAAUCCAAUCCAGCCACCAUUUGGAGGCUAGGUUUCACAUAUCGGGUCUGAUUUGACCAGUUUUGGGUCUCAAUAUUUGGUUCUCGAUUCUAGUUUUCUAUCUCAAAUCCAAUUUUCAAGAUCAAUUACCUAUUGGGCCAAUUGUCUGACUUGAAAAUUAAUUUCCAAAAAUAUCAUAUUUAUUUUAAUUAAUUUGAUUUAUUUAAUUUUGCUUUAUUAAAAUUAAUUUUCCCAAAAAUCAUUGAGAUUUUUCAAAAUUAAUUUUUUAAGAAAAUUCUUUAAUCAAAUUCUCUACUUGAACAAUUUUCACGACUGUCCAAUUUAAUUCUAUAUCGAAUAAAUCGACUCAAUUAAAUUAUUUCUAAAGUUGUAAAAAAAAAUUUCUAUUUCAAAUAUAGUUCGAUCGAGCUUUUGUUAAGUUAGCGAAGGUACUAAUCUGACAUAUACAAUUAGGCUCUAGUAAUUGCAAUUAUGUCCAGAAGCAUCAUUCCGAUAAUUCGCAAUUUACUUAAUCAUGGAGUCAGUCCAUAAGAAGUACCAUGAUCGAAAACUUCCUAUUGUAUAAUUUUUACGAAAGCAAUUCAUCCAACAGCUUUAUCUAAUGACCACGUCUCGUGUGUGUUACCUUCAUAUGAUAUCUUUGAUUCCUUUGAAUUAAAUUUGUCUACUCAAUAAAAUCUUAUUUUAUCUCAUUAUCAUCAUUGUAUCUUCUUAAUGAUUAAUAUGAUCACUGUUAACAAAUGACUGUGAUACAUUGCUCGUUCGAGAAUAAGCAACCCGUGACCAUGUUCCAUAUUUAUCAACUCACACAAUGCCCAUGAGAGGAUACUGUUAACUCUUUAAUCGAGUUAUGAAUUCUAUUGUUGCUAGUAAAGUCACGCCAUACACAAGUCAUAUACCCAACAUUUUGGAUAUGCCAUAAUCUAGUAUAUAUUUAAAUAUUUGAUUGAGUUGGUGUCACGAGUUAAUCGAACACCAACUUAAUUGUGAUAUGACUAAAAAAAUUUCUACUUAAAAAGUAACAAAUAUUAUUAUCAGGGGCAAAGCUAGAACAAUUUUUUAGGGGGACCGGAUGAAAUUUUAAUUUUUUAUAGUUUAUAUCUUUAUAAUUUGUAAAUGAUUAAAUUGAAUUUUUAUAAUUUUAGGGAGGCUAAAGUGCAAUUUAACAUUUACUAAUUUAAAAUUUUUAAAAAAAAUUAAAGCCUAAAUAGUAAUUUUACAUUUUAGGGGGGGUCGAGGCCCAUGCCAGCCCCCUGCCUUCGCCCUUAAUUAUUAUAAGUAUUUGUUUUUUUUUUGUAAAAUCUACAAAAGCAACAAUAGCCCCUGCCUUCGCCCUUAAUUAUUAUAAGUAUUUGUUUUUUUUUUGUAAAAUCUACAAAAGCAACAAUUUAGACUAAAAAUAAAUCCAUAAAUGAUGCGACUUAAAUAUAGGAUACCAAAAUUCCCAAAGCAUAAAAUUUACCAUUUGGAGCAAAACAUUUUUUGUGUUUUUGCUUAAUCCACAAAUUGGUUCCUAAAUUAUAGUAUUUUCCCAUCUUGGUGCUUAAACUUUGUUUUUGUCAUAAGUUGCAUCUAAACUACUUUUUUCUACAAGUUGAUACCUUCCUCGAUCAAAUAGUUAGUCAAAUUGUUAAGUCUAUUUUAAAAUAGGUUUAAUAUACAAAUUAGUACCUAAACAUUUUUUUUUAUCACGAGUGGUACCAAAAUUAUUUUUUUCAAGUUGAUAAUUUUGUUAGUUCAAUCAUUAGUUAAGAUUGUUAAGUCUAUUUUUUUUAAAAUAUAACCAAUUAAAAAGUUGACACGUGGCAAAAAAGAAAAAAUAUUUUUUUCUCUUAUAAAUCUUUCUCUUUCCCUUUUUCUUUUUCUUUCUUAAGAAUUAGACCAAUGGUUGAAUUAGUCAUGCCACUAAUUCCUGAUUCAGUUUGUCUGAUUCAAUCAAAUAAAUUAUAUUAUUAUUUAUGUUAUUAUUUAAGUUUUUAAUGAAAUAUUCCAUUCAUCAGUAGCAUUUGAUUUAUGUUAUUAUUUAAGUUUUUGUUUAAGAUGAUUCACACAAAUCAAUCGGACAUAAAUUUAGCUAGAAAUUAAUUAAAAAUUUAUUAUUUUUACAAAAUAAUAAAUAUCAAUAUAGUGAUAUUUUUUUAAUAGACUAUUCAUUCCUUGAUGGUCCUCUCACCGAUUCGGUAGCAGAGGAUUUUCGAAGAUUCUCGGGUCAUUUUUGUAGGAGGGGUGGAAGAACAAAGGAAAGAGCAUCAAUUAUUCAUUUUUUGUAGGAAUCAAUGGGAAAAUCUGAAAUUGCUCAAGUGGGCUCUUCGGUGUAAUUUAGUCAAUCGCCUCUAAAAUAUCCUGUGGAAUUCGUAGGAAAAGCGUAAGAAUAAUUAAGAUUCCAGACAGAAUCCGAAAAUUAUCUUACGGACAGCCAUGUUGGUGGCAACUGCAGAUGAUUAGUCUGCAUGUUUACUUCUAAUUCUAAUUUACCAACCAAUUCGGAUUUUACAUCCUCAAGAGAAUCCAUAGCAAUUCAUUUUUCAUUUUUAUCCAUCCCUUCCAAUCCUGUAAGUCUGCUUGCUGCUCGCCCCUCUCUCUAAAGGGGCUUAUGUGUUUGAAAUUUCGCUACAAAGGAAGCAUUGUUACGAUCCAAGCCGACAACGAAGUCAGACUAUCUGCUGAGGAGGAGAUUAUUAACAUUGUGAAUAACCUUUCGCCGACUGAGGUGGAAGAAACCAUUGGGCCAUUCUCCGGCUAUCGAUUUCGAUAUGGAACUGCCCGUCUAUUGAGACGGAGAUUAAGCUUUGUUAUGUUGUGUACAGGCGCUCUUUGUUAACCCGUCUGGUGUGCAGCUGUAUGCCUGUGUAGGUGGUCCCCACGCGGGGAGCUCUUGGGCUUUUUUCGCUCGACCGCACCUACAUGAAGGAAGGUUUUUCUAAUUGAAUGCAUGGGUGGGUUUUCCGACUGGAUUGGGUUUGUGUCCUGUGACUGGCCUUUCUCUUGUUGUUGUGGAUUGCGUGCCCUCUUAGGAAAGGGCAGGAGAAGAGGAAAGAAAGAGUCAUUUUUUAAGGCUCUGUAAACACAAUCAAUAAAGAGUUUCGUUAGCGGUCUUCGAUUUUCAGAUUCGGUUUAGUGAGAAUAGCUCUAGUCUGAGAGCUUAAGCUAUUAGUUUAAAAGAAAAGUAUGGGCAGAGACUUUCUCUUUUCUUUAACCACAAUAGGGUUCAAGCCUACCGCGCAGAAAACAGAGAACAAGCAGGAGCAGAGCAGUCCACCGGCCAUCAAUUAUUUACUUACCUUGCCCGCGUUAGGAGAGGAGUGAACGGAGAAAAGAAGAGUUGUACCGAAGACUUUCUCUUAGCAUACAAGACAGAGUUCCCUUAGCCAUGCAGUGAGCGGUACUCCGUCAAUAGAGUCGACAAAGCAGUCAGAGGUAGUUACAAGUGAGAUAGAUAUGUAACUAACCUUGGUCCUCUUGUGAAUUGUGAAAUAUGUGCUAUUGAAGAAAUAUGUGUUAUAAAAAAAUAUAUGUUACAAAGCCAAGAUCGAGAACAAAGAAACUUGGUUCGAGAUCGAUAAGGAAAUGAAGCGCUGGGGGGGCUGUGGCCUCUGAAACCCAAAAGCGGCAGAAUGGAAUGGAAAAGGGGUGCUUUGGAUCGGGAGUAAGCACUAGUUUUAGGGCGGGGGGAAGGAAAAAUUUUCAAGAAGAUCUCGGGCUCGAUCUGGUUUUAGUAUCAAGGUGAUUCUAUUUUUGUUCCUAAAUAUAUGGGUCCGUGCAGCAUUUCCACGAUAUCGUUAUGAUCAAUUAAUGGGACUUGGCCGGAAAGUGUUCUUGCCUCUAUCAUUAGCUCGGGUAGUCCCCGUUUCUGGUGUUUUGGUCACCUUUUAAUGGCUCCCUUAAUUAUGUGCGAGGAAUUUCCCUCUUGAGUAAUGGGAAGCGGGCUAGUCCCCGAAAAUGCCCGUUCGCUUGUCGUUGGGGCUAAAAAUAUUCCUUGUUCGUUCACUGAGUGAAUUGACUGCCCCCUCCCGUGGAAGUAGAAGCUAGAAUAGGAGCUCUUUCACCUAGAAGAUCAACCACUGAUGGAUCAAAUAGAACCGGAUAAACUACUCGAUCAAUGGUUUCCGAAGAACCCUAGGCCACAUCUGGCCUGACUGCUUCCUCCACUAAUUGCCGGAAGAAGCCGGCCGUAAAAGAAAGAUCUUCUACUUCAACCUGGCUUCGGUUGACCCCCUGUCGGUGGUAGUAAGAGCAGAGUCUUAGGUUGGUGCUUGAAGUAAGGGUCAUCAAAGAGACGGAUUUCCUUUUUUGGAUUUGGUAAUCUAGCUAGACUUCCUGGUAUUCCAGUUUCUAGAAAGGGAGACAUGGCUAAUAAUAAAUAGUGCAGUAGCAAUAAAUGCUCGGUACUUCCAUAAUCUCAUCAUCUUGUUUUUUAUAUCCCUUCCCAGUGUCGAAUCACAAGAAGUUGGAGCGAAUCUUUGAUCUUUUAUUAGUAUUCCCCUUCCUUAGACUGGGACACAUACAUCGAGAAUCCAGUGUGCAAUUCAUUUUGAUAAGAUAGAUAGAUUGUCCCCAAUUAGUCAUAUAGGUUACACUAAAUCGGAGCUAGAAUAAAGGGUAGGUUGAAUCUUAAAAGUACCCUGCCGGGUACGGGUAACUAUGUUAAGUUAAUUACGUAUCAAAAAAAUCAAUUUUAUAUGCUCCUGGGAAAAAAAUUGUGCUACUCUAUUCGAUGGAUCAGGAACAAUCGAAAAAAGCCAGACCAGUACGGUAUCUCUUUAAAUCCUGAAUAUGGUGAUACCCCCGAUUGUACUAACCUACAUAUGUUUCUCCUCCAUCAAUCGGUACUAGUUAUUGUCAUUUGGAUUCCUUGACUUUCUUUGUCCUAUGAGAAAUGCGAAACGAAAGAAGGCUGGGAAUUAGAUCCUACUCUUUGUCUCUUCUUUUCUUUUUACAGAAAAUGAAGAGAUGAAUUGAUCGAUUCAUCGGAUCCUAGGUCGGGACUGACGGGGCUCGAACCCGCAGCUUCCGCCUUGACAGGGCGGUGCUCUGACCGAUUGAACUACAAUCCCAGGAAAAUUAGGUGUACAGCCUCAAAACUAUUAUUAUUUUUCUUAUUUUAUUGGAUUUCAUUCAAACCAUUUAGUUUCGCCGUGUUGUAACAGAGACACGAAUGAUAUACUUACUAUAUUAUUAUAAGAAAAUAUAUCUUUAUAAAUAUAAAUGCAGUAAAGUCAUAGUGGGCUAAUUCAUGAAUUGAAUCAAAUGGGCCCUUUAACUAAGCGGUAGAGUCGCGCUCUUUAAACGCCCUAAGAAAUAGGCGUAAGUCGUCGGUUCAAAUCCGAUAAAAAAAGGGCUUUUCUAUUUUUUACGAAACUCCUGUCUUAGUCUUCAUUUUCUUUUUCAGCAGAGAAUAUAGAUAUGAAAAAAAGGUAACCGCCUGCUGAGUAGUUUUUUUUUAGUUUUUAAGUAGAAUGUUCAUUAUGAUGAUAAGUAGUCGAUUAGGAGAAUUGCUAUGUCACUUAUGGUUGUUGCCUCAUCCUCAUGUUUUUAUUAUUCAGAUUUGUUGUUUUGGGACAUAGAUAUUCUAGAUACCCAUUAUGGAAUCGAUAAAGUCUUCCUACUUCUCCAUUGUUCCAAUCAGAUUCGAAAAAUGAGAAAGAAAGAAAAAGUAAGUGGACCUAAAAAAAAUCAUAACUAUAUAAGCUAUUCUGAUAUUAAGAUUCGAUAUAGAUGAAAUCGUGGAAGUGGACCUUUGAUUUCCUUGGACUACGUAAGAAUUCGUCGUCCGAUUUCAUCUUCUUGUUCUUGGAUGCUCUAUAGGAAUUUAUCGCUAUUCCUUUCCUCCACCGAGAAAGGUUCAUUCCGAGUCACAAGAGCAAUCUUUUUUUUUUUUUUUUCAUUUUGAUUCUUUCUUUUUGUAAUGGUAAUGCAAUGCAAGAGGUCGGAAAGAAAUAUGUGUUAUUGUAACUUGGUUAGUUACACAUAUCUAUAUGUUUUAAUUCCUUUCUACUUAUAACACAUAUGCUACACCGAAAGAUGGUUCUGGAGAGAAAUCCUACCCGCAACCAUUUGCUUAUAGAAUGGUGGAGGGAGGAAGAGGUAGCAAUACAUUCCGCCUGAUGCUUGAUCACAGCAUUCGGGAUAUAUCAAAUGAGCUCUUCGAUCUAUGAUGAAUAGUUCCUUUUUUUAUAGGAUCAUAUUUCUUUCUAGUCGUAAGCAUUUUAAUUGGACCUUUCUCCUUGGCUUCCUUUUUGGAAUAUUUUCAUCCGGGAUUGGAAUGACCUAUGUUGUAACGGAGGAGAGAAGGUGAACCAGCUUCCUUCAGUCUAUUACCUUUUAAAGCGGAUCCUUAUUUUACCUUCGGCCAGGGGGAGGAAUAAGUAAGAGACAUUAGUAGAGUUCGUUCUGUGUGGGACGGAAUCCUUCCUUUCCUGGCUAUCGUAACAACUGCUCCGUACUCCUAAGGAUCUCUAUGCCACUUGUGAUUCCCAGCCAAAGAGGCGCGAAGGUUAUGAAAUAAGAGGAAACUGUACAUUCAUAAUAAUAAGUAGAGUGCUAUUACUUAUAUUAUUUCAUUUUAUCUUUCAUCUAUAAUAACAUUAUAAUAUAAUAAUAACUUAUAUAUCUUAUUAUAAAUGAUGGCUCCUCAUCCGCAAACAACGGAUAUGACUAAAAAAAUUACAGCGGCAACAAUCACUCUAACUCCAGAUAUGGAGACAUUAGCCCCUAAUGGAACACUUACAAAAUUUGAUGCACCGCUUCCUCUUAUAAGACCGCUAAUGCCGCAUCUAAGAUCACGAGAUGGCAUGAGCUUCUUCAGUCCCACAGCUCUCUUCUAUAUUUUCCUUUUUUCUAUAAGGGAAUUGGCUGCCAUCAUUCAUUCCUAUCCCAUCCUUAGGUCAAUCAACGUAAUCCCGAACAGCUGAUUCUUAAGCAGGAAGCAGUCCCGUCCUUAGGCUAUUUGCCUUGUUAGGACAGACAGAAAGAAAUCCCCUCUUCCGCUUAAGGAAUAAAGAACAGUUGAGAAUGGUCUGUUCACAUGAAAAAAUCGUCUCUUUGACACUUGUACUAUAUCUAACGUAUUCUAGCCUUCGUCGAAAACAAGCCCAAGGAAUUAUCCUCUCCCAGGAUUCUAGAGAAAGGCU
rnacentral:lncRNA from 1 species